GGAACAUAAACUCACAUGCUCUACUGUUCACUACAAUGACAAGAGGAAUAAAACAUAAAUUCCCUCCCAUGCUUUACUGCCCAUACAAUUACAUAGCUAAAAUGCACAAUAAGCUUCAACAUAUAAUACACAUAUAAUAUUUGUAAAAGAGGGCAUCCACUAAGAGCCCAACACAACAAUCUGGACAUCACAAACAGCAGCCGUGGUACAAAUAAAUGGUAGCUCCAUAAAGUUAAAUAGCAAAGGCUGCUGCCCGUAUGCUGCUACCAACCAUAAACACAUAGUAUAUGUUUACACAAGACAAGCAGCUAGCACUACUAAGUUAACUAGAACAGUUAGCCCCAUAAAGUUAGGUUACAGAGUACACCCGACAACAAAAGAGAAGUAACACAACAUCAGAAGGAUCUAACCGGAUAGCUGCUGAUAUUACAAGGGACCUAUGAUUCAACAUUAUCUGAAAGGUCGACAAUGGAAUGGCGAUAUGCAAGCCAGACUAUCAGUUCCAAUCUGCCAAUUCCUCCGAGUACAAGGGAACAUAAGGAAAAUAGGGUCCCAUGGAACCAUUUCCAAGAUGGCGGAUGAGCUGCACUUUUCCACUAUCCAUUUCAUAAGACAUGAGUUCUUUGUCAUGCCCAUAAACUAAGAAAAUCAUGUUUCGUUGCGGGAGGUGGGCGAUAAUGUGAAACCUGAUUCCCCGAUGGACAUACUUCACUCCAAGUAGAUCAAAAGGACUAACGCUGUGCUUCAAUACCCACACUUCACUGUCGUAGUCCUCAAGAACCCAGAUCAAUAGUUUGUGACAAUCAUGAUGAUCAAUAUUUGCGAAAUACAAACGCCCUUGAGACAGAUCAGUGAACCCGACAGCAAGAUCUAUUGUAGAGCCAAACAGAUUGCAUGGCAUAGGAAUAACCCUCCAAGUAGUUCCCUCCACAUCCACUGCCACCACCACCGCAGACCAGAUGUCAACCAAAUGCAGAAAACCAUUGCCAGAGGAACUUAUACUCGUUAUCCUAGCCGGUUUUGGACGUGCGAGGAGACGGCCGGGUCGAACCCCAAGCGAGCUGUCUGCAUCUUGCUGAAGAUGCCGGGCAAGGCGACCCAUUUCUCCGUGGCAGGAUUGCACACCACGUAAUAAAAUGCCCCCGCACCAAAGGUCUUGAAGCGGCGGCAGAGGAGUAGGCCGUUGCAGCUGUCCAGAAGGUGGAACUGAUGACAGUCAGGCAGGAAGGGGAGCGAAGGACGGAUAGGAGCACGGCCUCCCGCCGAGACAUGGGUGAAAUUGUCAGUUGAGAAAUAGCCAGUGCUGGGGCCGCGGCUCGAGUAGAGGAAGCCAGCGAGGUCAUGGAGAUGGUACUGCGGCAGCGCCUUGCGGUGGUCGGGGUGGGAGAUGAUGCCGCGCCACCGCUUGGAGACGCACUUGAAGCGGCACAGCGACCUGUACGGCACGCGCGACAGGAUCUCGACGAGGAGGUCUUCGGUGAGCUUGUCCGCCGGAUUCCGCCGCCUGCUAAUGUCCCUGGAUCCGUCCGCCAUCGCCGUGGGGAGAGGAGGCACUCAAUCUGCGAACGGGGGCGGGGGAGGAGAGAUUGCAGAUCCGUCGACAUGGGUGAAGGGAGCAGGAAGGAAGGAAGAGAGGAUCUACGAAGAGUGUGGCGUACGUACCAGACGAGAAGCGAGUGACGGCGAGGAAGCCCGUUUGAGGUGCUCCCGUCCCCGCCGGCGAGGCUUUGGGUGCGCGGCGGCGAGAUGAGGUGAGGUCUGGCGUGGAACUGGAAGACGGGGGAAGUUUUUAUUUUUUAUUUUUUAGGGGAAGUGAAUGAGGAGUAUGCUGUGCUGGGCUUCUGUCUAGGCUGUACAGAGGACUAGAUCAUAUAGGCGCGCUCUGCCGCCGCCGUCCAUCUUUAAAACAGUAACGAUGAUAUUGUCUAAAAAAAUUAGAGUUAUAAUAUGUAAUAAAUACGAAACACUCGAAAGUGAGGAUACAUGAAUGAUUCAUUGUGAGAAAACAAGGGGUGGUUUAUACCUAAAGGUAGGGUAAUAAAGAAUGGAUAUUGCUUCUGUUUCUUUUAAAUUGCGCUUGAAAAUUUGUGUUGUUUUUAUGUCAAGCCUCGUAGUUGUAAAGGCAAUAUACAAAAUUGUCCUCCUUAAGCAUUUUAACCAUCGUUGAAUCUUUGAAUUGUUGCACACCUAACCUCACCACGUAAGCCAAAAAUAAAUGUGCAAAUGAUGUAUAUUUUUAUUUUUUAUACUUCUUAAAAGUUAUGAAAUAAAUAAAAAUCACAUAUAAAUUAAAUUAAAGUAGGGGAGCUAAGUUCUUGGAGAUCGGUUAAAAAUGAGAUAAAUAACUUACUCCAUCUCCUUUCUCAAAAUUGGAAAUAGAAGUGCCCAUUAACAAGUGAAGAAUGGGUAAGUUCUAAAAAAUUAUGUUCUAUAAUGCUAUAUAUGAUACCAUGCUACGAAUAAUAUAUAUACCUAAAUCACAAAUUUUCUCUAUCAAUUCAAGGUCAGCAAUAAUGAUAUAUCUAUAUGGUUCGGGGAGUCCAAAUAAUCUAAAUUUUCAUGAAAUAACUAAAUAUGGCCAAUGAGGGGGAUGUGUUCUGAUCACUCGAUUUCAACCAACUACCAAUUGCACAUGAGGUAUAGCUCCAAAUCAUGGAUAAGACACAAGGUCUAACCAGUAGUACUCAAUUGUCACUAAUCCACCUGUUAUCAAUUGUGAAAACUCUAGGUACCCCCAAUUUUUAUAUUACUCGAGCACAACUGACGUCAAAAUAUACGCAAGAUCCUCAAAUUCUUUCCUGGAAAAUAAAUAAACGUGAAGCAGAUGCACACGACAAUGGGAAUAUGAUCGUGCUCACAUAUAGAUCAUCAGCAGAGCAACAAUUUUAGUCCUUAUCUACUCCUUACUUGUAUCAUGUUGCCAAAACUUCCUACACUGAAAGGUGAGAAGGCGUCCAGCCGCCAUCCCGUGCGCCGUCGCUGGCCGUGGGAUCUCUCAACCAUGGUUGCUCGCUAGGGUAGGAUUCAGUGACAGAGUCUGGAAGAAUGACAUGCAGCAAAUUAUGUUGGUCAGAUUGCGUUAAUAUCUGGAGAGAGAGAGAGAGAGAGAGAGAGAAGAGGGAACCUGAAUGGCUGAAUCAGUCAGAGGUGAAGCCAAUAGAACAUGGCGGGCAACUCUGGAACAAGCAUGUCAGUCACUGGGGACGCAGAUCGAGCGCCCUGUCCCGGUCUAGGCGAGGUCGUCGUGGAGGCGAAGGAGGCGACGCGCCCCUCCAUGUCGUGUAAAUCUUGAACGGUCUGUCGCCAGAGAAGCAAACCCUCGGCGGGCCACUAAGCAAAGAAGUGAUAAUGGGCCGUCCAAACCGUGUGAGUGGGCGCCCCUCCCACUUGGAAAAGGCCCGCUCAACCACAGGCCACCUAGACCGGUUUCCGGAGCAGCGGCCCGAGCGGGGUUCGUUCAUGCCCGAAAGUGCCUCAGCGACGAUGCGGGACGACUGUGAAAGAUCUGAGACGUUCAACUACGUGAUCGGACGGUAAAGAGCCCCAAGUCGCUGUGAGGCAUCGUAGGUGGCUCAGUUUUACUGUUUCUCAAUAGCGGUGUGUCCAGUUUUCACUUUCAGCCUGCACUGCAGCUGUUCUAAGAGCAUCUAUUAUAUAUAAAAAGUAUUUGAUGGGAUCACUAGUUGCUUAAAAAAAGUUAUUUACUUGGCGUGUAGGUGUCUAAGCAGAAAGAGGCGGAUGCAAAACUUUUUCCCUCUUGCUAGGGUUUUGGCUUCCUCUCGCCGCCACAGGCGACGUUGAGAAACUCUGUCCUUCACUGCCGCUCCCCUGAGCUCGGGCUGACUACGGGGCAGUCUAGCACUGCUUCCCGGCCUUGGUGGGAGGCUAGGCGUGGCUGGAGGUGUUUAGGGUUUUGGCUGUGUUGGCGGCGUCGAACCUGUGAGAUCGGAUCUGAUGUUCCUGAAGAUGGCGAAGCAAGGCACUCCGGUCGUGUCCGGUAGCAAGGGGAAGGGGAAGCUCGAGGACCUCAUGGAGGAACUCGCCCUGAAAGAAGAUGACCUAGAUGAUGUCGUCUUCGAGGAGGAGGAGGCGCCACCAGAGGAGGAUCUCAGAUGGAUGACCCUGGUUCGUGUUCACAUCGACAAAACUUUCAGCACUUAUUGGUUCUUCCGCAACAUGCGGUCAGCACGGGAUCUAGCAAGAAGGGUCAAGAUCAAAACCCUAGCGGAGAACUUGGUCAUCAUGUAUAGUUUGAGUGCCUAGGGGAUUGGGAAAGAGUGAUCAUCUAAACCCACAUCAAUUGAGCUUUUUUAAAUUUGAGAUUUGGGCGAGAAUCCUUGACCUACCCAUUGCUUACCACGGAAAGGUCAAGUCCUUGGCAGCAAAGAUCGACAAUUUUGUGGAGUCAGAGCCGUCAUCUUUUGACUUUGAAGGUAAUUUCUAUAGAGUGAGAAUUUGCCUGGAUGUUCGUAAGCAGCUGAAGAAAGCGAUUUCUAUCGUCCGUGGUGGUCAGCGAGAAAUUUUUGCGGUGAAAUAUGAGCGACUCCCCGAUUGGUGUCAGGUGUGUGGUAUGAUGGGCCACGAAUUCAAGGAACAUGGUGAUGGUGUGCACCCUCCCUCCGCCCUGGUUUUCAAGAACCUGAGGGCACCUACUACUACGGCAUGGGGCUCUAGACGCUGCAACUAUGGGCAAAGAACUAGGGGUAAAGAGGGAGGAGGCAAAAACACAGGAUGAUGAGAAGGAGGGUGAGGAUACUGAGAUGGAGGAGAAUGAUGCAAGCCGCAAAAGGACAUCUGAAGAGGUAGUGGGUCGGCUCACACCCGCAGCGGCUAGUUCAAGCCUGGAUAUUGUCCCUAUGGAGAAAACCAAUGGUGGUGUUGCAAGUCUACCCCUUAGCCCACCACCGAAACAAGACCCAAAACAUUCAAGACUCUCACGACAAACAGAGAAGGUGUUGAACUGGAGUGGGAGGAAGAACUCGACGGUCUUAAAGAAUCCUAAUGCUAAAGCGGCGGCCUCCCCGGUGGAGGGCCGCCGAGCACAAUGAGUUGCCUAAGCUAGAACUGCCAGGGACGAGGCAACACCCCGACAGUUCAAGAGCUACGAGAAAUCGUUCUAAAGUUUGCCCCUAUAGUACUUUGUAUUGUUGAAACACAGAUUGGCCAAGAUAGAGCUAAAAGUUUGGCAAGUACUUUAGGUUUUGAUUCUUAUUUUGCGGAACCCUUCCACCGAUAGGAGCGGUGAUUUAGCUUUGUAUUGGAAUAACGAAAUAAAGAUUGAGAUUUUGGGCUAUUCGCAGUAUCAUAUUGAUGCAAAGAUCUCAGACAUGGGAGGAGAUCCUUGGAGGCUCUCAUGUUUCUACGGAGAGGCACAAACACACCUCCGUUAUAGAACUUGGGACACGAUGAAAAACCUGGCAGCCCGCCAAAACAUGUCGUGGAUGUGUAUUGGGGACUUCAACGAGGUUCUCUGCUAUGAUGAGAACGAGGGAAUUGGCCAGAGAAGUCAAACCCAGAUUCAAGGUUUUCGUGAUGCAGUUGAUGUGUGCGGUUUAAUUGAUCUCGGCUACCAUGGUCAUAAGUGGACGUUUGAAAAGAAGGUGACUGGUGGAUCAUAUACAAGAGUCAGGCUCGACAGGGCUUUGGGAACGCCCGAGUGGUGUGCUUGGUUCCCCCUAGCAGCGGUGGAACAUCUCAUAGUUGCGACUUCUGAUCACUCUCAUAUCAGUCUAAGGCUGGAUCCACCGGAUAGAAGAAAGCAUGGAAAAAUACAGUUUCGAUACAAGUGCAUGUGGGACACGCAUCCCAAGCUAAUCCCCAUGGUCCAGCAUGCAUGGGAGGCGAACGGUCCUAAACUAACGGCAGCGAAAGUCCGAGCAAACUUACAAUCCUUCUCUAAUAAUUUGGCGAGUGGAGUAAGUCAACUUUUGGGAGUGUAAAGUCAGAGAUAAGGAGGUUGAAGAAAGACUUGGAGCGGCUCAGGAGUGAUCCGGCGAGGACUGCACCGAGCCAUGUUGAGAUUAAAACAAAUGAUCGAUUGAUCGAACUAUAUCUUCGGGAAGAAAUAAUGUGGCGCCAACGAUCAAGGGUGGCAUGGUUGUCAGAGGGGAUAGGAAUACACACUUUUCCACCUCCGAGCUUCAAACAGGCGACGCAAAAAAUUGAUAAAAUCAUUGCAGAAGCAAGAUGGGCAGCUAACAGACGAUUUAUCAGAGAUGCAGAAGUUGGCACUUGAUUUCUAUAAAGCCUUAUACACCUCGGAAGGGGUGGAGGGGUUAGAUGACGUGCUUCAACAUGUCCCCUCAAAGCUGACAGCAGUGAUGAAUGAGACUCUCAUGGCGCCGUACAAGGAGGAAGAAGUUAAGAAGGCGCUUUUUUAGAUGUUCCCUACUAAGGCCCCGGGGCCGGACGGGUUCCCUGCGCACUUUUUCCAGAGGCACUAGGACAUUUGUGGUGCUGUGGUCACACGUGUUGUUCUGGGAGUAUAGUCCGAGGAGAAGAAAGUCUGGAGUGUGUGAAUGACACUGUUUUGGUGUUAAUCCCUAAGGUAUCAAAACCAACUCUUUUAUCUCAAUUUUGACCGAUCAAUUUAUGCAAUGUCUUUUACAAGAUAGCUUCAAAGGUUCUAGCUAAUCGAUUGAAGGUAAUACUUUCUGAAGUUAUUUCUGAAGAGCAGUCAACAUUUGUGCCUGGUAGGCUUAUAACUGAUAACAUAAUCUCAGCGUAUGAGUGUUUGCACUUUAUGAAGAGGAAUAAGUCAAAGAACAAUAACUACUGCGCUCUAAAACUCGAUAUGAUGAAGGCAUAUGAUCGAGUGGAGUGGAACUAUUUGGAAGCUAUCAUGAGGAAACUGGGUUUUGCAGCACCAUGGGUCUCCAUUGUCAUGAACAUGGUCAGAACAGUUUCUUUUUCAGUUUUGUUUAAUGGGAGUAAAUUGGAAGAAUUUUCACCAUCCAGAGGUAUUCGUCGGGGAGACCCCAUCUCUCCAUACCUUUUAUUAUUGGCAGCAGAGGGCCUUUCGUGCCUGUUAAAAUCUCAGAAGGGAUCAUCCCAGCUCAGCGGCAUCAAGGUGGCCCCAUCGGCUCCAUCGGUGAACCACCUUUUAUUUGCAGAUGAUAGCUUGCUAUUCUUCAAGGCGAGCGUGAAUGGAGCAGAAGAAGUGUCACACCUUUUGGAUACUUAUUGUAUGGCCUCGGGUCAACAGAUUAUCAACGAAAAAUCAACUAUUUACUUCAGUAAAGGAUGCCCAUAGAUUGUGAGAGAUGCAGUGAAGGGGUGUCUCCAGGUACCUAAUGAGUCCUUAAGCGACAGAUAUCUUGGAAUGCCCACGGAUGUUGGACACUCAAAAAAAGCACCUUCAAACACUUGAGCGAUCGCGUGUGGGACAAGGUGAAAGGAUGGAUGGGCAAGUGUCUGUCUGCCGGGGGCAAGGAGGUAUUAAGGUUGCACAAGCUAUUCCGGUUUAUUCCAUGUCAUGUUUCAAACUCCCCAAAGGUUUAUGUUAACAUAUAAAUUCCAUCAUCCGUAAAUUUUGGUGGGGAUGCAAGGAGGGGCAAUGGAAACCGUCUUGGGUAUCAUGGGAGAUAGUGACGAGGCAUAAGUAUUUGGGAGGACUAGGUUUCAGAGACCUGGAACUCUUUAACCUAGCAUUGUUAGCUAGACAGGCUUGGAGGGUGCUGCAGGAUCCAUCAUCAUUGAGUGCGAGGAUACUCAAGGCAUCUUACUUCCCAAACACGGAGUUUCUUAUGGCAGAGUUGGGCUCACGUCCAUCACAGAUUUGACGAGCUAUCCUAGAGGGGCGAGACAUCCUAAAAUAGGGCAUAAUUCGAAGGAUCGGCAAUGGACAGACGACGAGGGUCUGGGAUCAUAAUUGGAUAUCCAAGGAGGGAUCUUUGCGGCCGAUUGUGUCUCUGGCCCAAGACCCGCCUCAGUUUGUUUCCGAGCUACUUCUUCCAGCAACAUGUUCUUGGAAUGACAACCUAGUUCGAGCGUUGUUCUUGCCAACUGACGCAAAGGCGAUUUUGAGGAUCCCUGAUGCACUAGCAAUAUAGAGGACUUUUGGGCAUGGAAUCCGGAGAAGACGGGACCAUUUUCGGUGAGCUCAACUUACAAGUUUAUGGUCAAAACUAAAAUCACUUGAGAAAACUUGCUGGAAGGCAGGAGCGGGUCCUCGAGCAAUGACAGAGAGGAGCGAGACUGGUCCUCACUUUGGUCGCUGACAGUGCCAUCAAAGGUCAGAGUUUUCUUGUGGUGCCUAGCCCGCCACUCUCUCCCAACUACUGAUGUUUUGAACAGAAGGAACAUGGCAACAUGCGAUGCUUGCCCGCUAUGUGGCACUCCUAAUUCAUGGCGUCACGCUUUGGUGUCAUGCACGUCGGCCCGCUGCACUUGGGCAUUAUCUGACCCGGGUCUGGUUGCGCAAAUGGCGAAGAGUGAGAGAACACCGCCAAGAAUUGGCUGUUUCGGCUGAAUGAUGUGCUUGAUCAUAAGUCUUUCACAAUGAUGGUGGUGACUCUUUGGGCGAUAUGGUACGCCAGAAGGAAGGCGAUCCACGAGGGCAUUUUUCAAUCCCCGAUGCACACUUCAUCGUUUGUGACCUCUUAUAUAACAAGCUGCAGCAACUGGAGAAGCCUAAUGAGCGCCAUGUACAAGUAGCAUCACCGUGGGGAGGGCCAAGGAGUUGGCUAGCCUCACCUAUGGGGUUCGCGAAAAUCAAUGUUGAUGGAGCUGUGGGGCGUCAUAGACGUGGCAGGGCAGUUUCAACGGUGUGUCGAGACCACACGGGAUUAUACUUGGGCUCAUCGGCGGUAGUUUACCGUGGCAUCACUGACCCCACAACCCUGGAGACUUUUGCGUGCAGGGAGGCUCUAGCUCUUGCAGAGGAUCUUCAGGUGACAAACAUGGUGAUUGCCUCGGAUUGCAAAGGAGUGGUUCAAGAUAUCAAUGAAGGAACAGGAGGUCCGCAUUCGGCUAUAGUACAUGAAAUAACGCACCGGAGAAGCAAUUUCGAUUCAGUUGUUUUUGUCUUUGAGCACAGAAACCAGAACUUCGAGUCUCAUAAUCUCGCCAAGUUCGCUUGUAACUUAGGGGUCGGCAUGUUUGGCUGGGCGUCCCCCAUGACCAGCUUCGUGUACCUAUGAACAUUGCUAUUAUAUAAUAAAGUGGUGUGAGAUUUCUCAAAAAAAAAAUUGGCGUGUAGGUCGCUGAAAUCACCGGUUAAGAUUUAUCCUUGUAGAGGUCAUUCCUCAUCUAUCUUCUCAGGUGCCCACGUAUUGUAUGUGCACCACCUGUCGUUACCUAGGAGUUUUAUUUUUUUCCGUUAAUUUUUUUAUUCAAAAUAUUUUAUCUCUUAAAUCAUGCGUGCAAAUACUGAACUGUUCUAGCCGUUGAAUUUCUUGUGUCAAGUUCUUCAAAAUUACUCCCUCUGUCCCACAAUAUAAGAGCGUUUUUGACACUAAUGUAGUGUAAAAAAUGCUCUUAUAUUAUAGGAUAGAGGGAGUAGAUAUCAUGUUAAUAGUUUUUGAUUAACUUUUUUUUUCAAAAAAUAAUAAUUUUAAAAAGAAAAAAAGACCUGAAGGCCAGAACCAUGGUUGGGGUUUUCAACAUUUUUUGGCGCGGACUAUACUUUUCUCUUUUUCCAUGAAGCACAUACUAUAUUUUUCAUUUUUAAAGUUGAAGCACAAUUGUAUUUAUCUUAGAGCAUCUCCACCACCCGCGUCCCCAAUAGGCCCCCUAGGGAGACUUUUUUCGCGCCGGCGGCGAAAAAAACCCCCAGUCGCGCCCCUAAGAUGCCGAAAUCCGCCGGCUCGGCCCGUUUUUGGGCCCGGCGAUCCAAGGACGAACCUAGCGCACUGGGGGUGCUCGGGGCUCCGGCGGAAGAAAAAAUCACGUCUGGUCCACACUGUCAGGCGAACAGUCAAGACAAAACGUCUAGAUUCCCCCCCCCUCGCGCGCGACUCCCACCACCUUGUCGAUCCCGGCGACGCCCGCCGCCCAGCACCGCUAGAUAGGUCAUUCCUCGCCGGAAAAGAGAGAGGGUUUCGUCACGGCAACCGCUCCACCACCUUCUUGGGCGAGGUUUCCGAUGCUCCGACCGCGCAGGGCGGGAUACCGACGCUGUGUGACCACCACGCCCGCCAGGUGUUCGGUGAUUUGUCUGCUCGACGAUGGACUCGGACAAUGAGGAGGCACUCUUGACUCUGCUGGAGGAGGAAGCCGAUGCCGACAUCCAGGACGAAGAGCAUCUCAUGGUCCUCGUCACUAUGGCCGGCCUACUCAUGAGCAAUGCAAAGCCGUGGGGAGAUGGCUCAGCGCCGGGGCGGCUGAAAGCAAAGAACAGACAUCGACUGGAAGGCUAUUGCAUGCUCUACUCUGACUACUUCGCUGAUGCUCUACUGCACGGCGACAAAGUAUUUUGGCACCAUUAUCGGAUGAGCCAAAAGCUUUUCCUCGAGAUUGUGAAUUCCAUCCGGGAGUUCGACAGCUACUUCAAGUGCAAGAAGGAUUGCACCGGCAAACUUGGAUUCACCUCAAUCCAGAAGUGCAUGACAGCUGUCGUGGUAUUUCCUCGACAUAUGCCAACGGGUGGCUAAUCAUGUAGGGGGUCAAUAGAACAUUGUCGGGCUCUAUAAGCGGGAGUAGGCAAGACCGCAAACGACGCCGGGUCUAACACAGGUUCGGGGCUCUCCGUGGAGAUAACACCCCUAGUCCUGCUCUGCGGGGUCUCUGCAUCACUAUGAUCAAUAGUAAGUACAAGGAUGCUCAUUGAGCUGUUCGGGCUAGAGGAGGAAGAAGGCUACUUGCACUACUUCUCCUUAGCUAUGGGUGUGUGUAUGUGAUCUAAAGAGGUUGAACACUUUGCAUGGGUGACCCUGGGGGGGUUUAUAUAGGCCUACCCCCAGGGGUACAAUGGUAAUCCGGCUGGUCCUGGGACCCGGCCGUCAGUGUCUCUGGGCUCCGGCUUCUCUGUCGGCUGCUGGUGCCCGCUACCUGGUGGGUCCCGCCUGCUGCUGUAAGCUCGGCCGACAGGUAGGGCCUGUCGCCUGCGGACCAGGGGGACCAAGCUACGUUGUAGCCCUGCCCCUGAUGACGAUGGCUUGGUCGGGGGCGCAUGGCUACAGUAUCACCGCCUGGCGGGCGAUCACUGUAGCCACACCCCGUCACCUCUGGUUAAUUGGGAACAGACUCCAAUGGGAGGGGUUGCCGCCUGCUAGGAGUCAGCCUCCCCUUGAGCCCGCCUGCUCUGGCCUUAACAUCUUUUGGGAUAAGCGGGCUGGUGGGGCUAGCCGCCUGCGGGCCGCACUGACCACCCGUCGUGGGGGCAUGGCUCCGCCUAACGUAGGCAUCGUCAUGGGCCACAUGGCUACAGUGUCAUGCCAGGCGAAGGGUGUCCGCCUGGUACGUCUGCACCGUAGCCACGUUCCUUCCGGGAUUCGUUGGUGGCAGGUGGCACUGUUGCCAUGCCCGGUCUUGUCGUAGCAGGUGGGUGUAGACUUUGAGGCGGCGAUGGGCCGCCUGCCCAGAGUCGGCCCAUACCCUCGCCGCCUUUUGAGGUGCGCCGCCUUCUAGGAGGCGGCCGGUUGGCUCCAGCUGGCCAUAGAGGCCGGCCUUGCGGCCGGUCGGACUGAGGGGCUAGGCUAGCCCCGAUGUCUUGAAAUCUGCUGAGGUGCAGAUGAGGCUACCCGGGGUCUAACCCCCAUCAGUAGUCCCCAAAGCUGGUGAGGUUCUACGGCUUGGGCAGCUGGGGAGCCUCGGUAGUUUCCCUCUUUGAGUGGCCUUCCGCCUUCCGCUCCGUCCGCCUGGGAGGAGCCGGGUGCCAGGAGUCGGACGCAGUCGCGGCCGCCUGGCGGAAUUUGAAGAGUCAUGGUGGGGACCAGGUGGCGUGUCGGCUUGGCGACAGGAUCGCCUCCCGCUACCCGCCCGCCACGCGGCGCCUGGCAGCCAGGUUGGCCUGCAAGCCCACACGCGCGAUGGGACGUUGCCGCAGGCCUAUGCCCGCCACUACAGGGCCUCAACACGCGCGCGGAUCCACUACGGCCGGGGUGGACGGUUGCUCUUCCAGGGCGGUUUAAUACACGCCUUUAAGGCGUAGAAAACAUGGGGUCAUGGGGGGGAGUGGGCGUAGUUAAUCCCACAUUCCCCCAUGCCUCGCCCCCUCGGCUCCACCGCCGCGAGGCUAUAAGUAGGGGGGAGGGGCAGCUGAAUGCACGCGCGCCCUCCUCUCCCUCUACCUUGCUGCCUUGCGCCUUCUUCCUCGCUGCCGCUGCACAUUCUUCCCUCACCGGAGUGCUGUUGCGGUUCGUCGUCGCUGGCCCUUCCUUCGUCGCUGCCACCUCGCCCCACUGCUGAGCACGAAGCUCAUGGCGCUCAGCGGCUGCGCCGGCGACUGGGACGGCUCCACCGUCCAUGAGGAUCAUAUCCAGUUCCUGCGCAAGACGCGGCGUCUUCCUCAUCACGCCGACAUCAAGGUGCGUCUACCCCUGCCUGGGAGAUCUCUCUGGCACCGAAGGACGACGAGUACGUCGUCUUUCGGGCGCACUUUCUUCGCGGCUUCGGCCUCCCGGCGAGCGGGUUCCUCCGCUCCCUAAUGGACUUCUACGGAGUGCAGCCCCACCACCUCACGCCGAACACAGUGGUGGUGCUCUCCACCUUCGUCACGUUUGGCGAAGGCUACCUCGGCACUCUGCCCACACUCGAGCUGUGGGCAGAGCGCUUCUACCUCAAGCUCGGCACCACCACCAAGGGCGAGGCGGCACAUUGCAUAGCCCACAUCACGGUGCAGCGCUCCAGGACCAGGGGCGGGCCUCGCUUCCCGACUAUCGCCCUGCUGCAGUCGGCAAAACUGUGGCAGUGGUCAUAUUUCUACGUCGAGAACCUCAAUCUGGAGUGGAACUACGUCAACUUGCCGGCUUAUGUAGCUGGCCCGGCUGCCGAGCCCCGUGCCAACUAGAGUUUCCGGCUGAAGAGUCUGUCGAUCCCCUCCGCCAACGCCCUCGCCCGACUUCAGGUGAUGAUCGACUCGGAGCGUCUCAGGCCCUCCGACUUGCUGGCCCCCUUCGUAGAGAGCCGGGUGCUGCCCCUCCAAGGUCGUCCCCACAUCAUCAGCGCCCUGAGUGGGCACCGGGAUUCGUGCCGGAUGUCCACCAAGGAGAUUCCGGUCUCGGAGAUCGUCCGGCUAGUGAACCACAUCUCCGACUGCAAGCUGUCAGAGUCGGAGUGGCAAUUCGGCAAGCCGCCAUACAGCCGGGUGCUACGUCUUGAGCUUGCGUUGGUUUUCCUUGAAGAGGAAAGGGUGAUGCAGCAAUAGUAGCGUAAGUAUUUCCCUCAGUUUUUGAGAACCAAGGUAUCAAUCCAGUAGGAGGCUCCUCAAAACUCCCACGCACCUACACAAACAAACAAGAACUCACAACCAACACAAUAAAGGGGUUGUCAAUCCCUUCACGGCCACUUGCGAAAGUGAGAUUUGAUAGAGAUAAUAUGAUAAGAUAAAUAUAUUUUUGGUAUUUUAUAAUAUAGAUUGGAAAAGUAAAGAUGCAAAUAAAAGUAGAUUGAAAGCUUAUAUGAUAAAAGAUAGACCCGGGGGCCAUAGGUUUCACUAGUGGCUUCUCUCAAGAUCGCAUAAUUAUUACGCUGGGUGAACAAAUUACUGUUGAGCAAUUGAUAGAAAAGCAAAUAAUUAUGAGAUUAUCUAAGCAUGAUCAUGUAUAUAGGCAUCACGUCCGUGACAAGUAGACCGACUCCUGCCUGCAUCUACUACUAUUACUCCACACAUCGACCGCUAUCCAGCAUGCAUCUAGAGUAUUAAGUUCAUAAAGAAUAGAGUAACGCAUUAAGAAAGAUGACAUGAUGUAGAGGGAUAAACUCAUGCAAUAUGAUAUAAACCCCAUCUUUUUAUCCUCGAUGGCAACAAUACAAUACGUGCCUUGCUGCCCCUGCUGUCACUUGAAAAGGACACCGCAAGAUUGAAGCCAAAGCUAAGCACUUCUCCCAUUGCAAGAAAGAUCAAUCUAGUAGGCCAAACCAAACUGAUAAUUCAAAGAGACUUGCAAAGAUAACUUAAUCACACAUAAAAGAAUUCAGAGGAGAUUAAAAUAUUUCUCAUAGAUAAACUUGAUCAUAAACCCACAAUUCAUCGGAUCUCAACAAACACACCGCAAAAAGAGUUACAUCGAAUAGAUCUCCAAGAAGAUCAAGGAGAACAUGGUAUUGAGAUCCAAAGAGAGAGAAGAAACCAUCUAGCUAAUAACUAUGGACCCGAAGGUCUGUGGUAAAAUACUCACAACUCAUCGGAGAGGCCUUGAAGAUGAUGUAAGGCCCUCCGUGAUCGAUUCCCCCUCCGGUGGAGCGCCGGCAAAGGCUCCAAGAUGGGAUCUCGCGGAUACAGAAGGUUGCGAUGGUGGAAUUAGGUUUUCGUGGUCUGUUAUGAUGUUCUUGGGGUACGUGUGUAUAUAUAGGAGGAAGAUGUAGGUCGGUGGAUGCCCGUGGGGCCCACGAGAUAGGGGGCACGCCCAGUGGGGGGCACCCUCCACCCUCGUGGCCGCCUCGGCUGUUGCUUGACUUCCACUCCAAGUCCUCUGGAUCACGUUCGUUCCAAAAAUCACGCUCUCGAAGGUUUCAUUCCGUUUGGACUGUGUUUGAUAUUCCUUUUCUUCGAAACACUGAAAUAGGCAAAAAAACAGCAAUACAGGCUGGGCCUCCGGUUAGUAGGUUAGUCCCAAAAAUGAUAUAAAAGUUUAAAGUAAAGCCCAUAAACAUCCAAAACGGGUAAUAUAAUAGCAUGGAACAAUCAAAAAAUAUAGAUACAUUGGAGACGUAUCAAGCAUCCCCGAGCUUAAUUCCCGCUCAUCCUCGAGUAGGUAAAUGAUAAAAACAGAAUUUUUGAUGUGGAAUGCUACCUAGCAUAUUUCUCAAUGUAAUUUUUUUAUUGUGGCAUGAAUGUUCAGAUCCAAAUGAUUCAAAAUAAAAGUUCAUAUUGACAUAAGAAAUAGUAAUACUUCAAGCAUACUUAAUCAAGCAAUCAUGUCUUCUCAAAAUAACAUGGCCAAAGAAAGUUAUCCCCACAAAAUCAUAUAGUCUGGCUAUUGCUCUAUCUUCAUCACACAAAGUAUUUAAUCAUGCACAACCCUGGUUACAAGCCAAGCAAUUGUUUCAUACUUUAGUAAUCUCAAACUUUUUCAACUUUGACACAAUACAUGAGCGUGAGCCAUGGACAUAGCACUUUAUGUGGAAUAGAAUGGUGGUUGUGGAGAAGACAAAAAAGGAGGAAGAUAGUCUCACAUCAACUAGGCGUAUCAACGGGCUAUGGAGAUGCCCAUUAAUAGAUAUCAAUGUGAGUGAGUAGGGAUUGCCAUGCAACGGAUGCACUAGAGCUAUAAAUGUAUGAAAGCUCAACAAAAGAAACUAAGUGGGUGUGCAUCCAACUCGCUUGCUCACGAAGACCUAGGGCAUUUUGUGGAAGCCCAUCAUUGGAAUAUACAAUCCAAGUUUUAUAAUGAAAAUUCCCACUAGUAAAUGAAAGUGACAACAUAAGAGACUCUCUAUCAUGAAGAUCAUGGUGCUACUUUGAAGCACAAGUGUGGUAAAAAGGAUAGUAGCAUUGUCCCUUCUCUCUUUUUCUCUCAUUUUUUGUUUGGCCUUUAUUUUUUUAAGUCUGAAGUCUCAUCCCGACUUGUGGGGGAAUCAUAAUCUCCAUCAUCCUUUCUUUACUGGGACAAUGCUCUAAUAAUGAAGAUCAUCACACUUUUAUUUACUUACAACUCAAGAUUACAACUCAAUACUUAGAACAAGAUAUGACUCUAUAUGAAUGCCUCCGGUGGUCGGGAUAUGCAAUGAAUCAAGAGUGACAUGUAUGAAAAUUAUGAAGGUGUCCUUGCCACAAAUACGAUGUCAACUACAUGAUCAUGCAAAGAGCAAUAUGACAAUAAUGAUGCGUCUCAUAUAAACGGAACAGUGGAAAGUUGCAUGGCAAUAUAUCUCGGAAUGGCUAUGGAAAUGCCAUAAUAGGUAGGUAUGGUGGCUGUUUUGAGGAAGGUAUAUGGUAGGUGUAUGGUACCGGCGAAAGUUGUGCGGCACAAGAGAGGCUAGCAAUGGUGGAAGGGUGAGAGUGCGUAUAAUCCAUGGACUCAACAUUAUUUAUAAAGAACUCAUGUACUUAUUGCAAAAAUCUACAAGUCAUCAAAAACAAAGUACUACGCGCAUGCUCCUAGGGGGAUAGAUUGGUAGGAAAAGACCAUCGCUCGUCCUCGACCGCCACUCAUAAGGAAGACAAUCAAUAAAUAAAAUUGUGCUCCAACUUCAUCACAAAGCGGUUCACCAUACGUGCAUUCUACGGGAAUCACAAACUUCAACACAAGUAUUCUUUAAAUUCAUAAUCACCCAACUAGCAUGACUUUAAUAUUACCACCUCUACAUUUCAAAACAAUUAUCAAGUAUCAAAUUGAUCAUAGCAUCCAAUUCACUUCCUAUGAUAGUUUUUAUUAUACCCAACUUGGAUGCGCAUCAUUCUAGGACCAAUUUUAUAACCAAAGCAAAUACCAUGCUGUCCUAAGAUACUCUCAAAAUAAUAUAAGUGAAUCAUGAGAGAUCAACAAUUUCUUCAAAAUUAAGCCACCAUCGUGCUCUAAAAGAUAUAAGUGAAGCACUAGAGCAAAAACUAUCAAGCUCAAAAGAUAUAAGUGAAGCACAUAGCGUAUUCUAAUAAAUUCUAAUCAAGUGGGCUUCUCCCAAAAGGUGUGUACAUCAAGGAUUAUUGUGGUAAACUAAAAAGCAAAGACUAAUAUCAUACAAGACGCUCCAAGCAAAACACAUAUCAUGUGGCGAAUAAAAAUAUAGCUCCAAGUAAAGUUAUCGAUAAACAAAGAAGAAAGAGGGGAUGCCUUCCGGGGCAUCCCCAAAAUUAGGCUUUUGGCUAUUCUUGAAUAUCUUGGGCUGCCAUGGGCAUCCCCAAGCUUAGGCUCUUGCCACUCCUUAUUCCAUAGUCCAUCAAAUCUUUACCCAAAACUUGAAAACUUCACAACACAAAACUCAACAGGAAAUCUCAUAAGCUCCGUUAGUGAAAGAAAGAAAACCCACCACAUACGGUACUGUAAUGAACUCAUUAUUUAUUUAUAUUGGUGUUAAACCUACUGUAUUCCAAGUUCUCUAUGGUUCAUACCACUUAAUACUAGCCAUAGAUGCAUCAAAAUAAGCAAACAACACACGAAAAACAGAAUCUGUCAAAAACAGAACAGUCUGGAGCAAUCUGUAACUCCCAAAUACUUAUGGAACACUAAAAAUCCUACCAAAAUAGGAAGGCCUGGGAAAUAUUUCUGUUGAUCUACAGCAAAACGAAUCAACGCACAAUCACGUUUAUGUGAAUUACUAAAAUUAUUUUCGUGCGUGCAAAGUUUCUGUUUUUCAGCAGAAUCAAAUUAACUAUCACCAUAGGUUAUCCUACAGGUUCUACUUGGCACAAACACUAAUUAAAACAUAAAAACACAUCUAACCAGAAGGUAGAUGCAAAAUUUAUUACUAAACAGAAGCAAAAACAAAAAACAUAAAUAAAAUUGGGUUGCCUCCCAACUAGCGCUAUCGUUUAACGCCCCUAGCUAGGCAUAAAAGCGAGGAUAGAUCUAAGUAGUGCCAUAAUAAUAAGAUAGAUCACGAAAACUCAUCUCAUAUUCUCUAUGUUCAGAAGCAAGUUUUCUUUGAGGCAAACAAAAGUAAUCAAAAGGGCUAAAUUUAAUGGGACAAAAGUUCCCAAGAUCAAUCUCAAGAGGUAUGGGUUCCUCCUUUGGCCCUUCAUAUUGCACAACUAAUUCAUCAUUAUAAGCAUUCUUUUGGCAGAAAUUAGUAAGACUAUACUCAAGAGAGUAUCCUAGCUCAUUGUUUCGAAGAGCAAAAUCAUUAUUAAGUUCGGAAAUUCUAUCAACUAGGACAUUGGUAGGAACCUUUUUUCUAAGGUUUUCAUUAAGAGCAACAUAGUCCAAAGAUUGAAAACGCCUAAUUUCCUCUUGAUCAAAGAGGAUCGCUUCUAUGGGAGGACGGCCGGUGUCCACCCUAUUGUGUGCAAAGAUUUCUUUGGCCUCUCUUAUUAUAAAUCUAAACUCAUGAGACAAAAAGAUAGUAGCGGCGCGCUUAACAGAAGAAUGCUCAAUAUUAGAAAAUUCCAGGAAAAUUCUUUAUAUGCAAGGAUACAUAUACAUAAAUUGUCUUUCAAGCUCAAUUAUAAGCAUAGCGAUAGCAUCCGCAAGACUACUAGUUCUAUGAAGAAUAGAACCGCCCAUAGAGGGUAAAGCACCGGCACAAGUAAAGAAAUCUUGAAUAACCCCUUUUCCAAUAAUAUUACCACUACCGAUUUGAAACUUUUUAGUAUGCAAGAUAGGGGGUUCUUCAGCAGGAGCAUCAGAACUUUCCAUGUUAUCAUUAUUGUCCAUAUCGAUGAUACUCUCCCCAAUUUCAGACAUAAUGGCAAACAAAAGCGAGGAGGAAAAAGAGGGAAAGCGGAAAAGAGCGGAGAUUUGGAAAGAUAGGGCGAAUAAAACGGCAAGGGUGAAGUGGGGGAGAGGAAAACGAGAGGCAAAUGGAAAAUAAUGUAAAUGCGAGGGAGAUGAGUUUAUGAUGGGUACUUGGUAUGUCUUGACUUGAGAGAAGACCUCCCCGGCAACGGCGCCAAAAAUCCUUCUUGCUACGUCUUGAGCUUGCGUUGGUUUUCCUUGAAGAGGAAAGGGUGAUGCAGCAAUAGUAGCGUAAGUAUUUCCUUCAGUUUUUGAGAACCAAUGUAUCAAUCCAGUAGGAGGCUCCUCAAAAGUCCCACGCACCUACACAAACAAAGAAGAACUCGCAACCAACGCAAUAAAGGGGUUGUCAAUCCCUUCACGGCCACUUGUGAAAGUGAUAUCUGAUAGAGAUAAUAUGAUAAGAUAAAUAUAUUUUUGGUAUUUUAUAAUAUAGAUUGGAAAAGUAAAGAUGCAAAUAGAAGUAGAUUGAAAGCUCAUAUGAUAAAAGAUAGACCCGGUGGCCAUAGGUUUCACUAGUGGCUUCUCUCAAGAUAGCAUAAUGAUUACGGUGAGUGAACAAAUUACUGAUGAGCAAUUGAUAGAAAAGCGAAUAAUUAUGAGAUUAUCUAAGCAUGAUCAUGUAUAUAGGCAUCACGUCCGUGACAAGUAGACCGACUCCUGCCUAUAUCUACUACUAUUACUCCACACAUCGACCGCUAUCCAGCAUGCAUCUAGAGUAUUAAGUUCAUAAAGAACAUAGUAACGCGUUAAGAAAGAUGACAUGAUGUAGAGGGAUAAACUCAUGCAAUAUGAUAUAAACCCCAUCUUUUUAUCCUCGAUGGCAACAAUACAAUAUGUGCCUUGCUGCCCCUGCUGUCACUGGAAAAGGACACCGCAAGAUUGAACCCAAAGCUAAGCAAUUCUCCCAUUGCAAGAAAGAUCAAUCUAGUAGGCCAAACCAAACUGAUAAUUCGAAGAGACUUGCAAAGAUAACUUAAUCACACAUAAAAGAAUUCAGAGGAGAUUCAAAUAUUUCUCAUAGAUAAACUUGAUCAUAAACCCACAAUUCAUCGGAUCUCGACAAACACACCGCAAAAAGAGUUACAUCGAAUAGAUCUCCAAGAAGAUCAAGGAGAACAUGGUAUUGAGAUCCAAAGAGAGAGAAGAAGCCAUCUAGCUAAUAACUAUGGACCCGAAGGUUAGUGGUAAACUACUCACAACUCACCGAAGAGGCCUUGAAGAUGAUGUAGAGGCCCUCCACGAUCAAUUCCCCCUCCGGUGGAGCGCCGGUGAAGGCUCCAAGAUGGGAUCUCGCGGAUACAGAAGGUUGCGGCGGUGGAAUUAGGUUAUCGUGGUCUGUUCUGAUGUUCUCGGGGUACGUGGGUAUAUAUAGGAGGAAGAAGUAGGUCAAUGGACGCCCGAGGGGCCCACAAGAUAGGGGCGCACCCAGUAGGGGGGGGCACACCCUCCACCCUCGUGGCCGCCUCGGCUGUUGCUUGACUUCCACUCCAAGUCCUUUGGAUCACGUUCGUUCCAAAAAUCACGCUCCCGAAGGUUUCAUUCCGUUUGGACUCCGUUUGAUAUUCCUUUUCUUCGAAACACUGAAAUAGGCAAAAAAACAGCAAUACGGGCUGGGCCUCCGGUUAGUUGGUUAGUCCCAAAAAUGAUAUAAAAGUGUAAAGUAAAGCCCAUAAACAUCCAAAACGGGUAAUAUAAUAGCAUGGAACAAUCAAAAAUUAUAGAUAUGUUGGAGACGUAUCACCGGGACAUCCCGCCGCCUACAAUAAGUACUUUACUUCUCUUUUCUUUUCUCAUUUGCUGGUCCGAGUUCUUCCCGCCGUCUGAGUAGUCGGCCCUGGUGCAGUACUUCCCGGGCCAGACACCCCUCCAACUAGCUCCGGGUAAGGAGUUCCUGCCAGAUCGGUCGGUUAGUGACGAGGGCGACUCCGACUUGGGGGCGGCCGCCAUGGAGGAGGACGACGCCACAGGCGGCGGCAGAGGGGAAACAGGCGGAUUCUCUGGAAGCGGCCUGGGGGAGUGGCCGGACGAUGAUGCGGAAGACCGCGAACCAUGCCGCGGCCACCGCACCGACAAGUCGGGCGCCGGCUCUUCGGCUGCGCCGACUGCGGUAGCCGGCGCGCCGAAGCGCCGGGCUGAGGGCGGGCUCUUCAUCAGUCGGACCAAGAAGCCAAAGACCUCGGCCGCCGCGACCAAGCGGCACGAAGCUGCUGCGAAGGCGGCCUAGUACCAGAGGGUGCCGAAAUCGUGCCCGGGGGUGUGUGCGUAAGUCCUUUUGACUCUCUCUUUGUUGCGUCUUUGCUUUUUCUUCAAUAUUCUUCCCUACUUGCUUGAACAGGGCCCCGCUGUCCCUUUCGCGGGCCCCGGAGGCUUCAGUGGUUGGGGCGUCCAACAACUCUGUUGUCCCCCGCCGCAUGAACCCGCUUGCCGACCUCCAGGAAGCCAUGGAGAGGAACACGUGGGAGGCGCGCAAGGAGCGGGAGGAGGCGGCCAGGGCGGCGCAGGCGGAGGCCGAUGCCGCGGCCAAGGCGUAGGCCGAGGUGGCGAACAAGGAGCAGGCCGACACAACCACCAAGGCACAGGAGGCAGAGGCAUCCCGCGGUCAGGCCUCCGGGCCCGUCGACUCGCAGCACCCGGAGCCACCUGUGCCGGAGGCCCCAGAGCCGGCUGGUAGAGUCGGCAUUGUCCAGCCGGCCGUGGAGAAGGAAGGAGGCGGCCCCAGGCUUGGGAAAGAGGUGGUUCCACCCCCGGCGACUGCCAACACGCCGGUCGGCCAGCCCGAGGGCCACAGGCAGCACCGUCUGACAGACAGCUGAUGGUGGGGCCACUUCCCAUGGUCAGCAUCCCGGCGCGCCGGCGCCUGGCAAAAGCAAGCUUAGCGAUGCGCCUGAUGGAGGUCGGAGCCUCAAGAUCGGCAAUGCCCGAUGUCGAGGCCACCAGUGCCAACACAGCGGACCGGGCAUCUGGUGGUGGUGGCGGCUGUUGGUGUCAAAACCGGCAGAUCUCGGGUAGGGGGUCCCGAUCUGUGCGUGUAAGGCUAAUGGUAACAGGAGGCAAGGGACACGAUGUUUUACCCAGGUUCAGGCCCUCUCGAUGGAGGUAAAACCCUACUUCCUGCUUGAUUGAUCUUGAUGAUAUGAGUAUUACAAGAUUUGAUCUACCACGAGAUCGUAGAGGCUAAACCCUAGAAGCUAGCCUAUGAUGAUUAUGAUUGUCCCUCUACGGACCGAACCCUCCGGUUUAUAUAGACACUGGAGGGGGCUAGGGUUUACACAGAGUCGGUUACAAAGAAGGAGAUCUAAUAUCCGGAUCACCAAGCUUGUCUUCCACGCAAAGGAGAGUCCCAUCCGGACACGGGACGAAGUCUUGAUUCUUGUAUCUUCACGGUCCAAUAGUCCGGCCAAAGUAUAUAGUCCGGCUUUCUGGAUACCCCCUAAUCCAGGACUCCCUCAGUAGCCCCUGAACCAGGCUUCAAUGACGAUGAGUCCGGCGCGUAGAUUGUCUUCGGCAUUGCAAGGCGGGUUCCAUCUCCGAAUACUCCAAAGCAGAUUAAGGAUUGUGUCCGGCUCUAUGAGAUAAUUUCCGCACUCGACCGUGGAGCACAUAACACCUCACAAAUCUAAUUUGCUGACAUAUAUUUUUUACGGUGUGCCCUUACGCCGUGGCCUGGCCCAACACGAACAGAUUUUUCUUGGCCUGCCUCAGUUUCAUUGGCAUGCCUUGCCAAAGCAGAGAUCGUGUUCCCCUUAUCGCGGGAUCCUCCAUCAAUACGGGCGCUUGCAACCCCACGACGCCUGUUGGCAUGACUCCGUGUUUUUAGGUAAGUCCCAAGCGGUUACGUUGAGGACGCUUGAUAUUCACCCCCUUUAUAGAGGGGCCGAGGCCUAUCCCUCUUUUCUACCACGCUUGCGCCUUUUCGCAUCUCGAGUUCCAACACCUGAAGCCCAAGUUUAAGCACUUCGGAUCUUCAAUCAUGUCCGGAUCCAACCUUCAAGGCCGGUGGAUGGCCUCUUCUGUCACAGAGGAGGACAUUGCGAAGCUUAGGGAGGUCAGAUAUCUGACCGCCGACAUCAAGCACAGGCUUCCUGCUCCAGGGCAGGUCAUCCCUACUCCCGAGCCCAACGAGAGCAUCGUAUUUGUUUCUCACUUCCUCCGCGGCUUAGGCUUCACCCUUGACCCCUUUGUGGGAGUGCUCAUGUUCUAUUACAGGCUAGAUUUUCAUGAUCUAGCUCCGGACGCCAUCCUUCACAUCUCAUCAUUCAUCGUCAUGUGUGAAGCCUUCCUCCACAUCACUCCGCACUUCGGCUUAUGGCUUAAGACUUUCAAUGGGAAGCCAAAGAUGAUUGUGGGGCGACACGUGGAGUGCGGAGGUGCUGUAAUAAGCAGGAACGCCGACGCCCCAUGUCCAGAGGGCUUCUUCCCGAAGGUGUCCGAUCUAUGGCAGCGGAGGUGGUUUUACAUCACGGCUCCCAGAGGCACAAAGUGGGUGGCUGCCCCCGACUUCCGCUCGGAGCCUCCACCUCAAAUGGCGUCAUGGGCCAAUGUGGGACUGGAUUGGGGGCCUGCUAAUGAUGUACCAACAUUGUAGAGCCGCAUUUGGGAGCUUCUUGAGAGGGAUAUCAGCCUUGUCAGCGUAAUUCAGGUAAUGCUAGUCCGACGGAUCCUGCCGUGCAAAUGCCGGCCUCUCCAUAUGUGGGAGUUCAAUCCGGAAGGUUCGCAGACUAUUUUGCACUUCUUCAGCAUGAUGCUCGAAGGGAUGUGUAAGUUGUUCUUCGGACCACAAGUAAAGUGUCCGGACACCACCGAGGAUGCGGGCCUGAGCUGCAACUGCCCAGAUACCCAAGUAAGUAACCCAGAAACUGAACACUUUGUUUAUAUUUAUCAUAACAUUUAUCCUGAAAACCGUCCACGGCCAGGAAUGGCUCAGCAAGGCGGAGAGAAUCAGGUGUCCGGUGCCACUUCCCGAAGGCUCGCCUUGUCCUGCCAUAGCCAAGAUGCUUAGUCGUGGCUAAGUCAAGUGCCCUCGGAGAAAGACGAAGGGAAGAACAGAGAAGCAAAACUUCACACAUUGCACAUCCAAAUCGGGGGAAUUACUACCUCCACAAAGGAGGAUAGUCGGGGAGGGGAAUCUAGGGUCUCCUCCCCCCACGGGAAGAAGAGGGCCGCCUCCGAAGACUUGGAGACGGAGGUGCCCAGACAAGGGAAGAAAACUUCACCAGGGGGCCCUGCCCUGAAGGGCGUCCUCACCGCGCCAUGCCCGCAAACAGGCCAGCCCUCAGCCGAGCUGUAAGUUAAUCGUAAAUACAAAGCUACUGCUCCCUCCUCCGAGAACAAUAACCAGGAUCCAUCCUUUGCAGUCUAGCUAGCAGCUCUUCUCGACAGAGUUCAUCCUCGGGGGAUCUCCUUCCGGAGAUGAUGGAGAGUGAAACCCCACCAGCCUCUCCGCCUCAUGGGGCGGGCAACCCCGAGGUGUCGUCACGGAGGAGUCCAGAUUUGCCGAGGCCAAAAGCUAGUACUUCGGCCGCCCUGAGCCCGAAGUGUUCGGCUCACACGGGGGGUGAUAAGAAGGGUCCGGUACAGUUCGGCGACCGGCCGGACACGAUGACGGGCCUUCUGGAGCAAGCUGCUCUCUCGAAGGAUCACCGUUCAUUAAUGAGCACGGUGAUUGAGAAGAUUUCAUCCGCGACAAGCGGGUUGAACGAAGCUUUUACGAGCCUGCUCAGAGGCUUUGAGGUAUGUAAUGAAAUAUGUGAUUUUUUGAUUGUGGCGCACGCGCUAGGUGUGCUCUAUAUGGAUAGUAGCCCCUGAGACUCUAGUUGCCAGCCCUAGGCGGCAAAUGGAGGAUCACAUUGUUGAGUAAUGAUCACACUGUAUUCAUGCGCAGGUGGCUAAGGGUUCGGCAGCAGACCAGUCCGUUGAAGUCACCGAACUGAGGCGACAAAUUGAAGUUGUGGAUGCCGAUAUCACACUUGUGAACGUGCGGCUUAACGAGUCACAAAGUAUGUGCUCUAUUUUCCUUAUUUUUUUAUAGGAAAUAUUAAGAGGAGCAUAAUGUUAACGUGAUAUGCUUGGACUAUAGGCGGAGCUGCUGCCGUGGAGGCCCUGAGGGCGGAACUUGCCCUAGCCAAGGAACAAGCCCGGGCAAGCAAUGUGGCUGCCCUAAAGGUGGCUGAAGAGUUGAGAGCCCAACAAGCUGCUCAUUGCCGAAGCGAAGAUAAAAUAGCCGAGAUGGCUGCGGAGCUGAAAAAUGCCGCCAACUAGUAUGAGCUCCUUGAAAAAGAGAAUCAAGCUAAUUCAGCUGACCUGAAGAAGGCCCUUGAUGCAGCCAAGGAGACGCGGUCCGAAAUUAGGGAUGCACGGGAGGAGCUUCGACAGGCCGGAGAAAGCGCGGCUGGAAACCCCUAUUUGUUGCGGGUGAAGUUCUUAGAUCCAAAGUAUGCUCCUCUGGAUCGACGCUGGAGCCCUGCAGACGCGUAUGCGGAUCUGGCGAAGAGUACGGCUGAUGCGGCCAAGUUUUUCGAGGAUCAAAAAGAUAAUGAAGUGGAAAAGUUGUUCUGGUCGCAAUUCAGUGCUCCAACGCGUCCGCUGCCAUUGAGUGAGAGGAUGGCUGCGGUGGCCGAGCUCCAUAGGUUGUCCGGUCUUGCAAUGAGGUAUGUAGUAGACCAUCUAUGGCCGAAGGGGCCGAAGCCGGACAGUUAUUUUGGUUUAGUGCAACAAUUCCUUGGUGCCGUCUCGUGAAUCGAUGCCAUGAAAAGGUCGGCGUGCAUAGAGGGUGCACCGAUGGCUCUUUCCCGUGUUAAAGCAUAUUGGACAGAUAUGGAGGCCACCAUCAUUGCGACCCAGAAUCCGGCGGGAAGCCAGGAUCCAGCCGAGCACUACUUGGAGCAGGUAACAGAAGGUGCUCGUUUAAUAGAGGCUCAGUGCUCAAAGAAUAUCAUGUUCGAGUGAAAAAUCGUUUCAUUGUAAAAACAAUUUUAUUUUAAUUAUGGAGGCUAUGUUUAUACUUUUCGCCCGAAAGUGUUAUUGUGCCUCCUGUGCGGCCGUUUGAUGAAUGUAUGUAAUCUGAAAGUUAGCAGUCGUUGGCUUCAGACCCCAUGCAUACAAUGCGGGGGUGUUCACAAGAAUAUGCGUAAUCACACUUGAUCCAACGUCUUGGUCCAUUAAGGAGGUGAACGCACGUCGAACUAGGCAACCAGACUAUAUAGCUUUAACACUUUCACUUAGCCAUAGGAGUUUGACGGGGGGGCUACUAUGUAGCACCUGGUACCUUUGCGUGCAUCUGAAUACGAGCGCGUGUGUACAUGACCGGGAAACGGUCCUUCGUUAAUGCAGACGAAUCCUAAAGAUUCCGAUGAGUCCUCGAGUGGUUGACCAGACUCUCGCUAUAUCAUGACAGUCAGUUUUCGGCUUUCUCUACUGAGGUGCUCAUCCGGAAUAACUAGGGCACAAUCGCAGUAAUUCUCCUUUGGCCGCCUUAGCCGAUAAGAAUGGAACGUAAGGCGGCAAACCCAGGAGCCGGGCAAACCCAACAUUUGACCAAAGACAUGAUUCGGAGUUGAUGCAUAUAAGGCCAAACUCGCGACGCCGAACACUCCCGAAGGUAUUCAGACUUUUAGAACAUAUACUGGGCUGAAUAACGCCCUUUAUUAUGAACCCUGUAUUUCCCGGUACGUGCAUUAGUCUGUCGUGGCGAAAUGCCAAUAACAGCAGUAUCCCCUGUGGGUGUAGUACCCAUGGGGUGUGUAAGCAACAAGAGACAAUAAAGAAGGUUUACACAGGGGCUUAAUCUAAAGAGAUACCUUUGAGUGAGGCCCUGCGGCACAUCUGCGCCUUAGUCUCUGUUGUGCCAUGUCCUGGGAGGGUAUCGCACAAAUGGUGUCUGUAAAAAGGAAAACUCAUGUAGAAGAGUAUGACAUAAGCGUUGGCUAUUAUCAAUGGAUAAUAGAAGUGUAAGACAUUGGCCUGUUAAUAAGGUCGAGCCAAAAGGUGGGCUUUAUUGAAUAUCUGUAGCCCCUGGCGUCCUCUAUGGGAUUACAUGUAUAUCGCCCAACUCAGGUUUAUCUAGGCUGCCGGACCCCUCUAACCGUGUCUGUGGUCUUAACGACCGAUCAUGUGUUCUGAUAUUAGCGGCCGCUUAGUGUCCGACUACUAGAGCCGUCGCAUACCUUUCCGCACGUAAGGAACGCUCUGUAUUUCCGUUAACGGUGAUGACGCCACGUGGACCGUGCAUCUUGAGUUUGAGGUAGGCGUAGUGCGGUACUGCGUUGAAGCGGGCGAAGGCCGUUCUCUCGAGUAAUGCAUGAUAACCACUUUGGAGGGGGGCGAUGGUGAAGAGUAGUUCUUCGCUUCUAAAGUUGUCUGGGGAACCGAAUGUCACCUCUAGUACGAGGGAGCCCCUGCAGCGGGCUUCAACGCCUGGUAUCACCCCUUCAAAGGUGGUGUUACUUUGGCUGAUUCUGGAUGGGUCUAUCCCCAUCCUGUGGACAGUGUCCUGGUAUAUUAGAUUGAGACUACUACAGCCGUCCAUGAGGACGCGAGUGAGAUGGUAUCCGUCGAUUAUUGGGUCGAGCACCAAGGCAGCUGAUCCUCCGUGCCGCAUACUAGUCGGGUAGUCCCUAUGAUCGAAGGUGAUCGGUCAGGCCGACCAGUGGUUAAGUUUGAGGGUGAUGGGCUCUACAGUGUAUGCGUCUCUGAGCGCGCGUUUGUGCCUUCUCUUGGGUUUGUGAGCUGCAUGGAUCAUGUUUACUAUUUUUACCUCUGGUGGGAAUUUUUUCUGUCCCCCAGUGUUUGGCUAGCGAGGCUCAUCCUCGUCUUCACUUGGUGUUUCCCUUCCCUUGUGUUCGGCAUUUAACUUGUCGGCCUGCUUAAAGACCCAGUAUUCUCUGUGAGUGUGGUUCGCAGGUUUUUUUGGGUGCCAUGAAUUUGGCAUAGUCUAUCCAGGACUUUGUUCAGGCCGGACGGUCCCUCUUUGCUGCCUUUAAAUGGCUUCUUUUGUUGACCGGGUCGAGAGCCCCUGAAUCCGGUGUUGACCAUUGUGUUGUCCGGACUUUCUUCCUUGUUUCUACGUUUGUUUUUAUUGCGCCGUGGCUUCCCGUUGCCAUCCCUAAUUUUGGAUGUGCCUGGGUCACUGGUGCCUCUAUGGGCCAACCAGCUGUCUUCACCCGUGCAAAAGCGGGUCAUAAGGCUUGUUAAGGCUGCCAUUGUCCUCGGCUUUUCUUGGCCGAGGUGUCUGGCGAGCCACUCAUCCCGGAUACUGUGCUUGAAGGCCACUAGGGCUUCAGCAUCCGGACAAUCGACAAUUUGAUUCUUCUUAGUGAGGAAUCUAUUCCAAAGCUUGCGGGCGGACUCUCCGGGCUGUUGAAUUAUGUGACUUAAAUCGUUAGCGUCCGGAGGUCGGGCAUAUGUUCCUUGAAAAUUGGCCCUGAAAGCAUCCUCAGGUUCCUCCAAACUUCCGAUUGAGUUUUUGGGGAGGCUUUUCAACCAGUGCCGAGCUGGUCCCUUCAACUUGAGGGGAAAGUAUUUGAUGGCAUGGAGGUCGUCCCCACGAGCCGUGUGGAUGUGAAGGAUAAAAUCCUCAAUCCAGACCCCGGGGUUUGUCGUUCCGUCAUAUGCCUCUAUGUUCACGGGUUUGAAACCUUGUGGAAAUUCGUGGUCCAGUACCUCUUCGGUGAAGCACAGAGGGUGAGCGGCCCCUCUGUAUCUGGACAUGUUUGUGGCGUGCUGUCAACUGUUGUUGUGUCCGGUGCUUAUUCCGAACUGGUACUCGAUCAGUCUGAUCAUUUUGGUGACCAUAAUCCUGCCCCGGAGAGUGUCCUCUAGAUCAAUAGAUGGACCUGGUCGCGCCGACCUUUUUAUCCAGGAGCUCACGUAAAUCAUGUGCGGCGUCAGUAGCUGCUCUAUUGCGGUCAUGAAGUGGUUGGUCCAGCCUACUGGCUGUAUUGUUCUUCGGUGGAACGGCCUGCUCGUCGAAUUCUGGCAGCAGCUUGCGCUUUGGAUAGCUCUUUGUGUGGCGAUCGUCGCCGUAUUUUUCUUUAGUGUCUAGCACUUUAUUACAUCUGCGAUUGAGCGUUUCCUGUGCGGCCUUAAGCCUUUGCUUCUGCUUCUUUAGACUUCUCACAGUGGCCAUAAGCCUUCUGUGGAGGUUAUCUCGUUCCAAACGUUCUUCCGGGAUGAUGAAUGCAUCAUCGUCUGGACUGUGCUCCUCUCCCGGGGCGGGUUGAUGAGUUCGGCCCUCGGGAUCACUGUGAUCGGGCGUCUGCUCCGGGCUGUGUUCGGCGUGACCUGGCUCAUCCUGCUCCAUCGCUGGGUCCAUACGGUCGUUGUUGCCUUUGGAGUUGACUGGGGUGUCGAUCCUUCUAGCGUUGUUAUCGCUGUUUUUGUUGUGGCUGGGCUUAGAGCGGCGUCCGCACCGUUGUUUUGGCAUUUGUCCGGGGGUUUUAUCCCCCGUUUUGUCGCCAUUGUCCUCCUUAGGUGUGUCCACCAUGUAUAUAUCGUAUGGUGAGGUGACAGUCCAGCGCCCUUUGGGUGGUGGUUCAGAAUCGUCCCCUGCACCGACGUCCGUACCAUUGGUGUCAUCGGAGUCGAAGUCAAGUAUGCCUGUUACAUCGUCGACAGUGGCUAUAAAGUGGGUGGUGGGUGGGGAACGAAUUUCUUCGUUGCCUUCUUCCCUCUCAAGCCGGACAUAAUUCGGCCAAGAACCUCCUGACAAAGAGAGAGACCUUAAUGAAUUCAGCAUGUCACCGAGGGGCGAGUGCUAGAAGAUAUCCACAGCGGUGAAUUCCAUUACCGGAGCCCAACCAGAAUCGGCAGGCUCGGGGGCGCGCAGUCCGGAACCUACAGCCGGACACAAGUCCGGGGGUCCGGAGACACAGGCUUCCUUGGGGGUGAAGUCUGUGUUUGGCUUUACCACCGAUGAAUGUGCGGCUUCUGGGGCGGGGUCCAACCACCCGUCCUCGGUCGAUGCAAUCUGCCCCGGAUUUAGGUCCGGGGCUCCUGCAGGUGCGAUAUCCCGAGUAUUGUCCGACAGCAGGUCUAAGCCAUGCUCGUCGUGACUAUUCUACACUCCUAGCGUAGGCUCGAAUCCGUCGAAGAUCAAGUCUCCGCGAAUAUCAGCCGUGUAGUUCAGGUUUCCGAACCUAACCUGCUGGCCAUGGGCGUAGUUGUCAAUCUGCUCCGGAUGGCCAAGCGAAUUGGCCCAUAGUGCGAAGCCUCCGAACACGAAGAUCUGUCCGGGGAGAAAAGUCUCACCCUGGACCGCGUUAUUGUUGAUGAUUGAAGGAGCCAUCAAGCCUUGCGGCGACGACACAGAGGAACUCUCAAUGAAAGCACCAACGUCGGUGUUAAAACCGGCGGAUCUCGGCUAGGGGGUCCCGAUCUGUGCAUCUAAGGCUAAUGGUAACAUGAGGCAAGGGACACAAUGUUUUACCCAGGUUCGGGCCCUCUCGAUGGAGGUAAAACCCUGCUUCCUGCUUGAUUGAUCUUGAUGAUAUGAGUAUUACAAGAGUUGAUCUACCACAAGAUCGUAGAGGCUAAAUCCUAGAAGCUAGCCUAUUAUGAUUAUGAUUGUCCCUCUACAGACCGAACACUCCGGUUUAUAUAGACAUCGGAGGGGGCUAGGGUUUACACAGAGUCGGUUACAAAGAAGGAGAUCUAAUAUCUGGAUCUCCAAGAUUGUCUUCCACGCAAAGGAGAGUCCCAUUCGGACACGUGACGAAGUCUUGAGUCUAGUAUCUUCACGGUCCAAUAGUCCGGCCAAAGUAUAUAGUCCGGCUAUCCUGAUACCCCCUAAUCCAGGACUCCCUCAGUGGCGUCCUGAACGUGUCGGUGCAGGACAUCCAGACCUAGCUUGCCACCCAGGGCGCCGCCCUCCAGAAGUGCAUGCAGGAGUUCGUGGCGUCGCGAACGGUCGUUCUGGUAGGCGCUUGCUUUACCCGGCGCUUGCUUUUUGUCUUCAUCUUCUCAUAGUCUUCCGUGGGGGCGCGCUAGCGCACCCACUGGGUGUAGCCCCCAAGUUCUGGGCCGGCUGCUGAGCAUGCGGCUUGGAACUUUAAGGUGAGUUCCGAGUGCUAAUCUUGUUUUUCUUUUCUUCUUUUGUCCUUGCUGCAGGACUACCACAACCUCCGCGCAGCCGCCUACAACUCCCACGUCAAGGAGCUGGCCAAGCGGACCAGCAACUUGAACGAGAGCCGAAGUAAGCGUUCCGUCUUUCUUCUCAUGGGGGCGUGUCAACGCACUCGCUGGGUGUAGCCCCCGAGAUUCGGACCGACUGCUGAGCAGUCGGUCGGGCCGGAUCUUCCGGCAACUACCUUCUUCUUUUUCUUGUUGAUGAUGAUGUCUUCUUUUUUUAUCUUUGCAGAGGCGGCUACUGCACUGCAGCAGCGCCUGGGCGAGGUCGAGACCGAGCUCCGCACUAAGGAGCUAGAGCGCAGCCAGGCGGCGCAGGAGUGCGAGCGCCUGAACAAGGAGCUGGCCGACCAGGCGGAGAGGCACAAGGCGGAGGUCCAGCAGCACAAGGCAGAGAUCUGGUAGCUGAAGGACGGCGAGGACCUCCUCAAGGCCGAGUUUGAGACUUAGCACUCGAACUGGGCCGAGAAGGAGGAGUUCCUGAACACCGGCUACAGGGAGAUCGAGGACUUGAUCGAUGGUAAGUAGUUCUCGUCUUCUUGAGUGGCUGCCGGCUGCUAUGUGAGCCGGCUUCUAUCUUUUCAUUUUUUGAUCUUUUUCCUUCUCGGAGUACUACCCUGGCUACUACAUCGCCGUCACCCAGGCCAUCGAGGCACGACACGCGACGCGAAGGGUGGGGGCGCGGACAUUGCGCCCAACGCACCCCAGAAUCUCGGCGAGCAGCUCCUGGCCAUCAAGACUCCCCUGCAGCCGGCCCAUCGGAUGCUCCGCCGACUGCAAUGCGCCGGUGCUCUGGUGCUGGCCGCCGUCUGGCGGGGAGUUCGGAUCUCGCGCACCCCUGGCCGGACUGCCGAGUGGCUGGAGUCUGCAAUCGGCCGCUUCGAGGCCUGGAAGGGCACCGCGGCUCGGGUGGGUGCUCAGACGGCCCUGGAGUUCACCAAGGCAUGGUAUCCCAACUUGGACUUGACCCAACUCGCUACCUUCCAGCUGGAGGCCGCAGACGAGCUGGUGGAGGUGGGCCCUGAGCUCACCCGGUGUGCGGCAGCGCUCGCCGACUACACCAACAUUGUCGUCUUCAUCCCCAACUUGGAUGCUGACGGCAAUAUGGUGCCGCCGAGCUGGUUUGGGUUGGACCAACUGGGCGAGGAGGACUCGGCGGAAGAAAUUGCCUCCAGCGACGAGGGCGAUGACGACAAUGACUUAGAGGAGGAUGAAGAUGUCGCGCCGGGAGGCGAAGUGGGUGGCUAGCCUCAGCCUGACCAGGCUUCGACCAGCGAGCCGUGGGUGGCUACACUGACUGCUGCCGCUGCCGACCAAACCGAGACCAGCCAGCCGGCCGCUCCACCAUCCAGCGCCGCCACCUCCGCCGACCCCUCGAACCCGCCUGCUGCUUCUCUGGCCUAGGCGGCCACAUUUACCUUGUCUUGUCCUGUGCUGUAAUUUCUUUUAAAUAAUUCUGUUAAGUAUGCGCAACUCCACCCACUAGGUGUGUAUUUUAAACUUCAUGGAUGCUGGCCUCUGGCCUUUUUCAAUGUACAUAAGUUUAAAUUCUUGCUCGAUUUUUGCCUUUCUCUCUUUGGCUUUGUGUUGUUCUGCGUUUCCUUGGCCGCCUCCCUACCAGCCGGACAGCCGCUUUGUGGUCUGUGGCUGGGUCGGGGACUUGUUCGUUCUUCAGAAUGGGCAAGUUACUUAGGCCGCAUAGAGUAUGGCUCGAUCGAGCGAGAAGCCGGCCUGCCGGCUGCUAAGCAGCCGGACGAGGGAGGCAGAGGGACGACUGGUCCUAAGUUAGCGUUCUUCCUUAGCCGAAUUUUGUGUGGGCGACUGCUCCGGCCUUUAGCUCCCGUGAGUCGACCAGCCGUGCUGCAAGCAGUGACUUAGGGCGGAUAGAGGGCUUUUUAGCGUCGGCACACUACUAUCCGGCUCCGGCUGGUGCAAACUUAGGACAAGGCGGCGAGCCCCCGGGCCGACUGACCGGAACCCGGACGCGGCAGGAAUGAAAAAACUCCAGUCAUGUCAUAAGCUUAGCUCAUAGAUAGAUAAAAAGGUAGCCCCCGAGUUCUCCUUGGGGGACCUGAGGUCUUUUAAUUAAUACAAAAGUUGGCAUGAUACAUACGCUCAAAUCAACUGUAAAAUGGGCGGAGCAGAUUUGCAUUCCAUGGUCGCUCCGUCUCGUUGCUGGCUGUGCAUCUCUUGCGCGCCCUGGGCUUCUGGGCGUCGAUGAGGUAGUACGAGUCGUUGCCCAAGGCCUUGCUGAUGAUGAAGGGGCCUUCCCAAGGUGUCGCGAGCUUGUGCUGUCCGGCUGGUCGCUGGAUCAGGCGGAGCACAAGGUUGCCCUCACGGAAAGAACGUGGCCUGACCUUCCUGUUGUGGUAGCGGCGUAGGCUCUGCUGGUAGAUGGCGGACCGGUUGCAUGCUAGCAUUCGGGCCUCUUCCAAUAGAUCAACACCGUCUUCUCGCGCCUCUUUGGCCUCCGCCUCCGUGUACAUGGCAACCCGAGGCGAGUCGAACUCAUGUGGGGAUGAUCACCUUGAAACCGUACACGAGGAAGAAGGGCGUGAAGCCCGUUGAUCUGUUCGGCGUGGUUCGAAGACUCCAGAGGACGGCGGGAAGCUCGUUGCAACAGCCGUUCGACCGCUCUAGUGGCUCGAUCAGGCGGGGCUUGAUGCCGGACAAGAUGAGGCCGUUUGCUUGCUCCACCUGGCCGUUUGACUGCGGAUGGGCAACAGAUGCUAAGUCCAAUCGGAUGCCCUGAUUUGUGCAGAAACGGGCCAAGGCGCCUUUGGCAAAGUUGGUGCCGUUGUCAGUGAUGAUGUUGUGAGGAACGCCAUAUCUGACAGUGAUGUUGGCGAUGAAUGUGACAGCAGUCGGCCCUUCCAGCUUCUUGAUUGGUUUUGCACUUUUGCUUCUAUCCAUUUGGUGAACUUGUACACGGCGACCAGCAGAUGGGUCAUGCCACCGUCUUGAACGGGCCUACCAUAUCCAAACCCCACACGGCAAAGGGACAGGUGAUGGGGAUGGUCUUGAGGGUGGAGGCCAACAGGUGUUGCUUGGCGCUGAACACCUGGCACCGCUUGCACUUCUUGACUAACUCUUUGGCAUCAUCCAAAGCAGUCGGCCAGAAGAAUCCAUGGCGGAAAGCUUUGGCCACAAGGGACUUGGAGGCAGCAUGGUGGCCACAUUCGCCUUGAUGUAUAUCUCUGAGGAUCUCCAUGCCUUUCUCUGGUUCUACGCAGCGCUGGUGAACGCUAGUCACACUCCGCCUUGCGAGCUCUUGAUUGAUAAUGGUGUAGGAGCCUGCUCUGCGCUGGAUCUAUCUUGCUAGCACCUAAUCGGUUGGCAGCACGCGGCUGACAAAAUAGUCACAGAUGGGCUGUGCCCAAGAUGGGGCCGCCACCACUUGAACACGGCGACUGAUACGAUGGGGCGGGUUGGGAGGCGGCGGGCUGGAGCCGGCCACUCCGGAUGGCGCUGAUGAAGUCCCCUGGCCAACUAUAGAAGCCCCCGGGCCGCUUGCUGGGAGCGCUGGGUCGGGUGCUGGUGCUGCAGCCCCCGGGCCGCUUGGUGAAGUCCCCGAGCUAGCCGCUGAAGUCCCCGCGCCGACUACUAAAGUCCCUGAGCCGGAUCCGGCUGUUCCUAGGGCAGCCGGCACGAAGAUGGAGUCGGACUCUGGUGAAGGCUUGAUGGACGGCUUGCGGAGGCACUCGAGGGAGACGCCGGAUGGUAUAGCUUGUCGGGUGGAGCCGAUGCGGGCGAGAGCAUCUGCUGCGUCGUUGUCAGCCCGUGGCACAUGGAUGAACUCGCACCUGUCAAAGUGGUCGCUCAUCUGUUGGACGACGAAGCGGUAGCUUGCCAUGUUGGCAUCCUUGGCCUCCCAGUCGCCAGACGACUACUGGACCAACAAGUCCGAGUCGCCGUAGUAGAGGAUGCGGUGAAUGCCGAUUUCUUUGGCCAGUCGGAGCCUGAAGAUGAGCGCUUCAUAAUCGGCUAUGUUGUUGGAGGUGGUGAAGUGGAUUUGCAGCGCAUACUUCAGCUUGUCGCCUUUGGGAGAUGUGAGAACAAUGCCGUCUCCCAAACCGGUGCGCAUCUUUGAGCCAUCAAAGUGCAUCCACCAAUGCGUGGAGUCUGGAGCUGGCGGCAGGUACUGGGACUCGGCCCAGUCGACAAGGAAGUCGGCCAGUGCUUGGGACAUGAUGGCAGUGCAGGGUUGGUAGAAGAUGGUGUGAGGAGCCAGCUCGAUGGCCCACUUGGUCACCUGGCCAGAGGCAUCUCCGUUGCCUAUGAUCUCGGCAAGGGGUGCGGUGCAGACGAUCGUGAUGGAGUGCUCUUGAAAGUAUUGCUUCAGUUUCUUGGCGGCAAAGUACAUGCCAUAGCACAUCUUCUGGUAGUGGGGGUAAUUCUGCUUGGAGGCUGACAGGACCUUGCUCAAGUAAUAUACUGGCCUCUGGACCGACUGUGCCUUGCUGGCUUCUGGGUGCUCGACGACGAUCACCGUGCUGAUAACUUUGUUGGUUGCGGCGAUGUAGAGGAGCAUAGGCUCUUUAGCAGCCGGGGCCGCCAGGAUAGGCGGCGUUGACAUCAUCCGCUUGAGCAGGAGGAAGGCGGUGUCCGCCUGGUUGUUCCACUCGAAGCAAAAGGUUUUUUUCAUGAGCUGGUACAGGGGGAGUGCCUUUUCGCCCAGCUGGCUGAUGAAGCGGCUGAGGGAUGCCAGGCACCCGGUGAACUUCUGCACGUCAUGCAGCUUGGUAGGUUUCUCCAUUCUCUCGAUGGCCUUGAUCUUCACAGGGUUGCAUUCGAUGCCGCAUUCUGAGACAAGGAAUCCCAGGAGCUGCCCGGCUGGCACAACAAAGACACACUUCUCCGGGUUGAGCUUGAUGUUGAAGCGACACAGAUUUUCAAAGCUUUCUUUCAAAUCUUCCAUCAGGGUGCCACGCUUUUCCGUCUUCACCACAAUGUCGUCCAUGUAAACGUGGGGCAUUGCGUCUGAGUUGCUUGAGCAAGCACUUCUACAUACAGCGUUGGAAGGCGGCGCCAUCAUUCCUGAAGCCGAACGUCAUGGUGAUGUAGCAGAAGGCGUCGAAUGGCGUGAUGAAGGCGGUAUUCGGUCGAUCAGCCGGUUCCAACUUGAUCUGGUGGUAGCCGGUCAAGGAAAGACAACAGCUCGCAUCCGGCUGUGGAGUCGAUCACUUGGUCUAUUCGCGACAGUGCGAAUGGAUCUUUGGGGCAGGCUUUGUUGAUACUGCUGUAAUCAAUGCACAUGCGCCACUUGUUGUUCUUCUUCAGCACAAGGACCGGGUUGGCAAGCCAGUUCGGGUGGAACACUUCCAUAAUGAAUCCGGCUGCUAGCAGUCGGGCGACUUCUUCUCCAACAAUCCUUCUCUUUUCUUCGGACAGGCGGCGGAGGGGUUGCUUCACCGGCUUGGCAUCUAACCUUACAUGAAGUUUGUGCUCGGCGAGAUCCAUCGGGACACCCGACAUUUCUUUGGGGGACCAUGCAAAGAUGUCUCGAUUCUCACAAAGGAAAUCGACGAGCUUGCCUUCCUAUUUGCUGUCGAGGCCAGUGCCCAUGACAGCAAAUCUCUCCGGGUGGUCCGGGUCCAAGGGAAUCCGCUUGGUCUCUUUGGCCGGCUGGAAUGAGGCCCCUGCUUCAGCUUCCUUGGGAUCAGUUGGCAUGCCGGCUUCUCGCUGGCCAUUGCUACCAUUCGAUCGAGGAGCUGUCUUUCUUGAGCUAUGACGAGGGACUCGGCCAGCCGGCUGCUGGCAGCUGCACAGUCUUGUGACUUCUUGUAAUCUCCAGCAACAGUGAUGAUGCCCUUGAGGCCUGGCAUCUUGGCUUUCCAGUAUGCAUAGUGAGGGACCAUCAUGAUUGGCCAGUGUAGGGUGGCCCAAGAGCGUGUGAUAGGGGCUUUCCAAGUCAACCACCUAAAACCAGAUUGGCUCGCGGCAGAAAUGAUCUCUGUUGCCGAAGAGGACGUCAAUCUUUAUCUUGCCAAUUGGGGAGCAGGACAGGCCCGGAACUAUGCCGUGAAAAAUAGUCCAGCUUAGCUGAAGUUGCUUGGCCUUGAUGCCCAGUCGGUCCAUGGUAUCUUUGUACAGGAUAUUGAUGCUGCUGCCACCAUCUAUCAGCACUCGGCCGAAACAGCAGUUCCGCCUCUCCGUUGCAAAGGUUACUUCGAGCACCAGGGCAUAUGAGCCCGGGUUGGGCAUCACAGCCGGGUGGUCAGCUUGGCUCCAAGUGAUAGGCUUCUCGGACCAGUGCAUGCGGGUGGGAGCUUCUGUAAUGACAGCAUUGACCUCUCUGUGUUGUCGCCGCCUGCUGUGCCUGUCGCCGGCUUUGCUUGUGAAGACGACGUAAGCGGCAUGCUCUUUAGGGAGCUUGUCUUGAGCGGUGCCAACUGGUCGGGCUGCCGGCUGCUGAACGGCUGGAGCUGGAGGGCCGGCUGGCGGGGGAGGCGGGAGGGCCUCGCCCUUGGCGAUCUGAGCUAGCCAGUUGCACUUUCCGAGUGGUGUGGUUGGAUGGCUUCGCGCCACUGUGGAACUUGCACGGGGCAUCAAGGGAUUGCUCAAAGGAGAGGCCGGGCAACCACGCUCCCUUGCCAGUUUUUUGUUGCUUGGUGCUGGGCUGACCAGUCGGCUACUGCUCUUUGACUGCUGCUACCCGCCGGCUGCUGGAAGCCGGCUGCUGGGCCUUGUGCUUGUUGUCGUUCUACUGACACAUGUUGGCGUCACCAGCCGGCGUUUGGGAAGCCUGAGGGAGCACCUUCCCGGUCGCGUCUACUCGGAGCUCCGACUUCAUGUAGGAGUCGGCCGUGGCGUACUUGUCCGCUAUGACCAGCCGUUCGUCUAGAGUAGCUGGCUCGUCACAGAGAAGCUUGUGUUUGAGCAAGGUGCCCUCUCGGCACCCGGUCGUUAAGUACUCUAUGGCAUGCGCCUCGUGCACACCUUCGCAGGAGUUGCGCAGCUCGCCCCAGCGUGUUAGAUAGUCACGAGUGGACUCAGUCGGGCCUUGGACACACAAGGAAAGUUGUCGAGGCUUGGGCGGCCGCUUGUAAGUGCCGGUGAAGUUGCGGAUGAAGACGUCAGAGAAGUCUAGCCAGCUGUUGACGUUAUGCGGCUUGCGGCUGUUCAGCCAUGUCCGGGCCGUGAACUGGAGCAUGAGCGGAACGUAUUUCAUGGCAACACACUUGUUUUCGUUUGCUAUGUUGACGGCGGUGGAGUAGUCGGCUAGCCAAUCUUCUAGCUUCAUGGAGCCGUUGUACUUGGGAGUGUCUCGUGGGAGCGAGAAUCCUUUGGGGAAGGGCUCAUUUCUGAUGCGGCGGCCAAAACAGGGCAGGCCGACCGUAUCUUUUUCUUCUUCCGCCAGGGAUCGAGCAAGUCGGUUGAUCCGAUGGCGAGCAUCGUUUUCUCUGAUUCCCUCGCGGUGACCUAUCCGGUCUCCGAGAGUCAGGUGCCCAACAGGCAGCGGAGAAGCGUGCCUCUCCCUGCGCGGGAGAAGCGGGCAGUCGUUGCGCCGUUCCACUGCUCUUGGGCGGCCGUCGGCGUCACGAUCAAUCGAGAUGUGUGUGCGCCGACUGCGGCUUGCAGCCAGCUCCGGGUCGCCUCGGCCACCGGUCGGGGACCGAGAGGUUGCACCGUGCUCUCGGGGAUGGAGGCGGGUCUCAUCUGGCUCGUCAGGUUCUGCCGCACAGCGGGCAGCUUCCUGUUGGAUGGCGGCCGCAUCGAGAAGCUGCUGCAGGCGCUCCUUCAUGUGGCGCCUCUCGUCGCCCUCUAGGUUGUCCAACUCCUCUGCUGUUGCCUGGGCGACGCGCAGGUUCUCAGCGGGCGUGGCAUAGACAGGGCGGUCGGCCCCGAAGAUGCUGGUGAUGGUGGCGCCGUGAUGCCGGACUGCGCCCAGCAGGCUGGGCUCUCCAGCAGCCGGAGUGCCGCCUAUGGCGCUGUCGAUCUCGCGCUGGUAGGCCUCGGCGAGGCGCUUCGCAGCGGCCAGCUGCUUGGCGUUGUCGAGGAGCGAAAGGCGGUGUGCCUCUAGGGUUGCGCUGUCUGCGCUGUCCUCGACCGGGGUGGGAGGGCUGCAGGGUCGAACGGAUCAGAUCCUGGCCCGCACUGGCCGAGGCUCCAUCCUGACUGAUGACCAGCACCUCUGUGACGGUGCUGAUGCUGGUCAAGCUGUCCGCAUGAGGGAGCGGGUCGUUGAUGAUCUCUACGUGGUCGGGGUAGGCGUCUGCCGUGUCGGAGUCGAUGGCCAUCUCGACGGGCGGAUCGGUGGAGCCAACUGACUCCAGGACGGAGGCGGGCUCGUUGACGAUGUGGAGUUUGUCGAGGAGGUCGAUGAGGCAGCUCUUAGAGUUGGCCAAACCCACGUCGGAAGCAGGCUUGUCGGCGAGGUGGACGCUGCCGAGGAGAUUAGCAAGGGAGCUCCCGGCGCAGGUGGCCUCCACAUCGUGCAGAUCGGCGGUGCAGACACCAAUGAGCGAGCCGGGCUGGCUGCGCUCACGGGGAAGGAAAUGGGUUCCCGUCCAAAACGUGUCUCCGGACAACGGUGCGCCUUGCCCCACAGUGGGCACCAAAUGUCGUGGUAGUUCCUCGACAUAUGCCAACGGGUGGCUAAUCAUGUAGGAGGUCAAUAGAACAUUGCCGGGCUCUAGAAGCGAGAGUAGGCAAGACCACAAACGACGCUGGGUCUUACCCAGGUUCGGGGCUCUCCAUGGAGAUCACACCCCUAGUCCUGCUCUGCGGGGUCUCAGCAUCACUAUGAUCAAUAGUAAGUACAAAGAUGCUCCUUGAGUUGUUCGGGCUAGAGGAGGAAGAAGGCUGCUUGCACUACUUCUCCUUAGCUAUGGGUGUGUGUGUGUGAUCUAAAGAGGUUGAACCCAUUGCAUGGGUGACCCUGGGGGUUUAUAUAGGCCUACCCCCAGGGUACAAUGGUAAUCCAGCUCGGCCUAGGACCCGGUCGUUAGUGUCUCUGGGCUCUGGCUUCUCCGCCGGCUGCUGGGGCUCGUCAUCUGAUGGGUCCCACCUGCUGCCGUAAGCUCAACCGAUAGGUAGGCCCGCUGCCUGCGGGCCAGGGGGACCAGGCUACACUGUAGCCCUGCCCCUGAUGACGAUGGCUUGGUCGGGGGGCGCAUGGCUACAGUACCGCCGCCUGGUGGGCGAUCACUGUAGCCACACCCCGUCACCUCUGGUUAAUUGGGCACAGACUCCAAGGGGAGGGGUGAUACGUCCAUUUUGCAUCAUGCUUUUUUAUCGAUAUUUAUUGCAUUAUGGACUGUUAUUACACGUUAUGUCACAAUACUUAUGCCUAUUCUCUCUUACUUUACAAGGUUUACACGAAGAGGGAGAAUGCUGGCAGUUGGGGAUUCUGGGCUGAAAAAGGAGCAAAUAUUGGAGACCUAUUCUGCACAGCUCCAAAAGUCCUGAAACUCCACGAAAGUCAUUUUGGGAAUUAAUAAAAAAUAUUCAGCGGAAGAAAUACCCGAGGGGGGCCACCCACCAUCCACGAGGGUGGGGGCGUGCCCCCUGCCUCGUGGGCCAUCUGGCAGCCCUCCGAUGCCCAUCUUCUGCUAUAUGAAGUCUUUUACCCUGGAAAAAACAAUAAGCAAGCUUUCGGGACGAAACUCCGCCGCCACGAGGCGGAACCAAUCUAGGGCUCCGGCGGAGCUGUUUUGCGUGGGAAACUUCCCUCUGGGAGGGGGAAAUCAUCACCAUCGUCAUCACCAACGAUCCUCUCAUCGGGACGGGGUCAAUCUCCAUCAACAUCUUCACCAGCACCAUCUCCUCUCAAACCCUAGUUCAUCUCUUGUAUCAAAUCUUUGUAUCAAAACCUUAGAUUGGUACCUGUGGGUUGCUAGUAGUGUUGAUUACUCCUUGUAGUUCAUGCUAGUUGGUUUAUUUGGUGAAAGAUCAUAUGUUCAUAUCUUAAUGCAUAGUAAUACCCCCCUGAUUAUGAACAUGAAUAUGCUUUGUGAGUAGUUACGUUUGUUCCGGGGAACAUGGGUGAAGUCUUGCUAUUAUUAGUCAUGUGAAUUUGGUAUUCGUUCGAUAUUUUGAUGAGAUGUAUGUUGUCUCUCCUCUAGUGGUGUUAUGUGAACGUCGACUACAUGACACUUCACCAUUAUUUGGGCCUAGAGGAAGGCAUUGGAAAGUAAUAAGUAGAUGAUGGGUUGCUAGAGUGACAGAAGCUUAAACCCUAGUUUAUGCGUUGCUUCGUAAGGGGCUGAUUUGGAUCCACUUGUUUCAUGCUAUGGUUAGGUUUACCUUAAUACUUCUUUUGUAGUUGUGGAUGCUUGCAAUAGGGGUUAAUCAUAAGUGGGAUGCUUGUCCAAGAAAGGACAAUACUCAAGCACCGGUCCACCCACAUAUCAAAUUAUCAAAGUAACGAACGCGAAUCAUAUGAGCUUGAUGAAAACUAGCUUGAUGAUAAUUCCCAUGUGUCCUCGGGAGCGCUUUUCUCUAUAUAAGAACUUGUCCAGGCUUGUCCUUUGCUACAAAAAGGAUUGUGCCAUCUUGCUGCACCUUAUUUACUUUCAUUGCUUGUUACCCAUUACAAAUUAUCUCAUCACAAAACUAUCUGUUACCUACAAUUUCAGUGCUUGCAGAGAAUACCUUACUGAAAACCGCUUGUCAUUUCCUUCUGCUCCUCGUUGGGUUCGACACUCUUACUUAUCGAAAGGACUACGAUAGAUCCCAUACACUUGUGGGUCUUCAAGGGGUUGCCGCCUGCUAGGAGUCGGCCUCCCCUUGAGGCCGCCUGCUCUGGCCUUGUCGUCUUCUAGGAUAAGCGGCCUGGUGGGGCCCGCCGCAUGCGGGCCGCACCGACCGCCCAUCGUGGGGGCAUGGCCCCGCCUGACAUAGGCAUCGUCAUGGGCUGCGUGGCUAUAGUGUCGUGCUAGGCGAAGGGUGUCCGCCUGGUACGUCUGCACUAUAUCCACGUUCCUUCCGUGAUUCGAGGGUGGCAGGUGGCAUUGUUGCCAUGCCCGGUCUUGUCGUAGCAGGUAGGUGCAGACUUUGAGGUGGCGAUGGGCCGCCUGCCAGGAGUCAGCCCAUACCUAGCUGCCUUCUGAGGUGCGUCGCCUUCUAGGGGGCGGCCGGUUGGCUCCGGCCGGCCGUGGAGGCCGGCCUUGCGGCCAGUUGGACUGAGGGGCUAGGCUAGCCCCGAUGUCUUGAAAUCUGCUAAGGUGCAGAUGGGGCUACCCAGGGUCUAUCCCCCCAUCAACAGCUAUGAGGAUGCUUGCAUGCAGAGCUCCCGGUGAUUCACUCGACGACUAUGGGCGCAUGGCCGAGUCCAUGACCAUUGAGUGUUUCUACAAGUUCUGUAGGACAGUGGUGGCAGUAUUUGGACCGCAAUACUUGCGGUCACCCAAUGUUGAAAGACACUACUCAGAUCCUAGCAUGGAAUGCAGCAAGAGGAUUUCCUGGCAUGCUUGGAAGCAUCAACUUCAUGCAUUGAAAAUGGAAAAACUGUCCAUUUGCUUGGCAGGGGAUGUACAAAGGCGUCAAAGACAGUUGCAGUGUGGUACUUGAGGCAGUGGCAACACAAGACCUCUGGAUUUGGCACUCCUUCUUUGGCAUGCCAAGAACUCACAGUGACAUCAACGUACUUCAGUGCUCCCCUGUCUUUGCCAAGCUUGUUGAAGGUCAUUCCCCUCCGGUGAACUUCGAGGUCAAUGGGCGGCACUACAACAAGGGAUACUACCUAGCAGAUGGCAUCUAUCCGAGAUGGUCUAUAUUUGUGAAGACUAUCUCAAACCCUGUGCCAGGAGACAAGAACUCUCACUUUGCGAAGGUUCAAGAGACUUGCAAGAAGGAUGUCGAGUGGGCAUUUGGUGUGGUCCAAUCUCGAUUUGCUGUUGUCCGGUACUCCGCUCAGACCUGGUCGAAAGAUCAAAUAUGGGAGAUCAUGACUUGUUGUGUCAUCAUGCACAACAUGAUCAUUGAGAGCGAGCAAGAAGAGCCAGUGUUUGACACUGAACCAUAUUACAGGCAGGGUCCUCUUGCCCAAGUUGAUCACCAGCUACCAGCAACCUAGACUGCCUUCCUCAAUAUGCGUUAGGAGAUCCGAGACCCACAGGUGCAUCAACAACUGCAGCAGGAUCUAGUGGAGCACCUAUGGAGGCUCAAGGGCAACGCCUAGCUCGACGUGUGAUGAAAUAUGAGUUUUUAUUUGUUGAACUAUAUAAUUUGUAUUGAACUAUUUGUUGUUGAACUAUUUGAUUUCUAUAGAUUUUCUGUGAUGAACCAUGUGAUAAAAAGUAGCUUCUGUUGAAUUUGCGCCGAAGCACGGUGAAUAUGGGCCGAUUUGCAUUGAUAGCAGGCCGAUUUUGCGCCGAAAGUGGGAUGAAAAGCGAGCAAAUUUACGCCAAAAUUGGGCCGAUAUCGGUGCCUGAGACGACCUGGGGGUGGCGGCUGGGAACGCAAUCGCCCCAAGCUGAUUUUAGCGCCGGUUCGUCCCCAGACGGCGAUUUUUCAAUUCCCCUAGGGGGCCGAUGGCUGGAGAUGCUUUUAGAAGCACGGAUUUGCUAAUUGUAGAAGCACAGGCUAAGCUUCUAGCGAAAACAAAGGUUAUGCUUCUCACAUAAGCAAAUAUGUAUUUUCACAAGAAACAAAAUCGUGCUUCUCGUGGGAGCACCAUUUUUUUUGAAGAUUUGUGCUGGAAUAAAAAAUAACAUUUUUCUUCAAAACCUAGGGAAAAUCAGGCAAAAGCCAAAAAAUGAAUCUAAAAGCCGAAAACAUGUACAUAAAAAAUGAAAUCUGAAGGGAGCUCCCAACACACGACACAUGGCGACGGCUAGGUUUCAUAUCGGGCUAGCCCAAGCAGGACUGAAACAGCUUUUUUCUGUCCUUUCUUUUUGUGUUUUCUUUCUUUUAUCUUUAUCUUUUUCUGAUCUUCCUUUCUAUUGUUAUUUUCCAUUUUCAUUUUCUUUCUUUAUUUUCCAGGAUUUUUAUUUUUAUUUUUAUUUUUUAAAAUAAUACUUUCUUUUUUCCUUUAUUAUUUGAAAACAUUUUUCAAAUUCAUGAAUAUUGUUUGAAAUCAUGAAAUUUAUUGAAAUCAUGAGUAUUUUUUUAAUUCAUGAACAUGUUAGAAAAAUCAUGAUUUCGAGAAACGACCUUGAUAGUUGAUAUCUAGAAACAUGUAGACGUCCACCGUGUCUCGAAAACCCUAAAUUUGGCCAAUGUUGUGGUUAUCUAUUCCUUCAUGUUCCUUGGGACGUAACACUUCAUUGAAAUGGGCCAAGCACAGCCAAGGGUAACCGCUCGAACUACUAAUCCCUUUCAUUACAUCCCAGGUUUGGUGCCUAAGAUAUGUUUGUGCCUCUCCAUAGCAGUGGCGGAGCUACACUAUCAAUUGUGGGCGGGCCAGUACAAAGAAAAUCCACUAUUUUUUUCCACACCUCAAUCUACUUUGAAUCCUCCAUUGCAUUUGGUACUAGCUGGCCAGGCCGUGCGUGGCCUAUAUUUAAUACACGUAGCUCCACCAGUGCUCCAUAGACACGUCAACCUCCAAGGAUCUUGUCCCACUUCUUCAACCUUUGCAUCAAUAUGGUACACCGAGUCUCCCAACAUCUCAAUAACCGUAUUAUUACUCCAAAAGAUACCGAUGCCACCACUCCUGCCUUUACUACUGAUAGCAUAAGCUUUAUCAUAACCUAUAGUGUUAGCUAAAGAUUCUACACGUGCUGCAUUUAUUUGAGUUUCAACUAUGCACAACACGGCAGGGGCAAACUUUCUCGCGAAAUCGCGAAGCUCCCGAACUGUCAUGGCUUUGUCCAUACAAUGGCAGUUCCAACAAAAGAUAUUCAUUGGGCCCGGAGGCACCCCUCCAGAGGGCCCGCAAAAACUACUUCUGCUGCUGCAAUGUUACCAUCGUUUACUUCUGAUGCCGUCCUUGCCUUCUUGGGAUCUCUCAUUUGUGGAGGGCUCACCGACGUUGUAUCAAUGGGUACGAUUGCUAGCUGAUUACCUUCUACCGGUAAAACUUGAUUUGUUGUUGUCACACCCGCUUGAUUCAUUGCCAAAGUUGCUCUCUCCGACCUAUUCGCCCACUUCCUGUUUGGACCUAGGGAGUUGCUACGCAUCAACCGACUGAUUUCCUUGAGAAAUCAGUCGGGUUGCCAGCCAUCCGAUCCCCUUUCUCUCAACCCUUGGAUAGGUCAAUGCAUGCAUGACUUUCUCCUUCUCAUCGCACCGAUCAGCCCUCCUGCUUCGAUCUCGUUGAGAGGUAGCAACGCAACAACUCGCCUGCUACUGCUGAGUAGCAUCCCGGCCGUCCCCGUUGUAAAGCAUCACGGCUGCCGCUGGCAAAGCGCUCCAUCGGAGCACCAGGAAGCCGACGGCGAGAGCUGCAACGAAGCACCGGAGCCGCCGGCAAGUGAUCCAUUGCAGCACCACGUGCUGCAUCACAACUCCGAAAGAGGCCGGCGAGUGCUCCAUUGCAGCAUGUUGUGCUGCAUCACAACUCUGAUAGACGCCAGCGAGUGCUGCAUCGCAGCAACGGAGCUGCCGGCGAGCGCUUCAUAGCAGCACCGAUGCCCCCGACGAGCGUUGCAUCGCAGCUCCGAUAGACGCCAGCGAGUGCUGCAUCGUAGUAACGAGCCGCCGGAGAGCGCUUCAUCGCAGCAGCGGAGCUGCCGAUGAGGACAGAACCGUAGCUCCGAUAGACGUCGAUGAGCGCUGCAUUGCAGCACCGGAGCCUCCGGCAACCGCUGCAUGGUAGCACCGAGAGUCACUGGAACUAGUGCGCGAGCGCGACCCCUGCUGCAGCCUCGAUCAUUGGCAUCGUCGCAGCAACACCUUGUUGCAUCACCUGCUGUGGCCGCCGUUGCUCGUGCAGGCAAGUGGAGGUUGUCCUUAUGCUUUGCAGCAGCGGGAAGGAGGAGCGGCUGCUGAAAAAGGGCAGUUCCUCCUGACAGCGCACACAAACGAGAAGUAGAAGCUUUUAGCAGCGCUGGCCGGCGUUGGUUCUGAUCUAGAGGAAGAGGAAGGCAAAGGAGAGGAGAGGUCUGCGGGAUGGAAAAAACUGAGCGAGGAAGACGAUGUACAGGGGUGAGAAAAAUGUGUGGUUGUGUGGAAGUGGAGUUUCUACACCUAGGAGCAAAUGCUCCUGGUGUGAACAGUAAAAUAAGAAAAUUCAAAAAAUUGUCAAAAAAAUCUGAUUUUUUUUGGCAUACUUAUACAAAUGUUUGUUGUGCAUGUAAAAUUUCAUCGCGAAAUCACAUUGAUGGAAGGUGUGGUAAAAAAACAAAAUCGAUGCUCUGAAAAUGUUACUUACAAAAGUAUUUUGAAGCUUUGACUUUGUUUUUCUCAGCACGACUUCCACGAAUGUGAUUUCGUGAUGAAAAUUAUCAUGCACAAAAAACACUUGUGAAAGUAUGUCACAAAAAAAAUUCAGAAUUUUUUAAAUUUUUUUUUUAUUUUUUUGAUUUUACUGUUUACACCAGGAGCAUUUGCUCCUGGCUGUAGAACGGUACUUUCGUGGUUGUGUGCGUCGCUGUAUCGGAUAAGAGAGAGGAAUAAGCGGCGCCUGGGGCCCAGCUGGGACGCGUGUCGAUCGCUCCAGGCGGCUUGCGUUUCGCUGUUUUCAUCCGGUUUAAAACAAGUGUUUUCCUUGGACCUAACAUGUCCACAUCCCUCUGUUCGGUCGUAGCCCGCAGGUUGCUCGAGUAGGUCGACUGAUAGCGACAAAACGUGAACUCCUAUUCGCUAUGUUUCGAAAUGGGCUGGCCUAAGUAGGCAUGAACCGGUUUUUCUCUCUUUUCUUUUAGUGUUUUAUUUCUUUUAUCUUUUACUUUUCUGAUCUUCCUUUUUUAAUUUUCUUUCUUUGUUUUUCCUGAUUUUUUUAUUUUUUAAAUAAAUCCUUUGUUUUUUCCUUUUGUUAUUCUGAAAACAUAUUUCAAAUUCAUGAAUAUUUUUUGAAAUCAUGAAAUUUUAUUGAAAUCAUGAGUAUUUUUUGAAUUCACGAACAUUUAAAAAAUCAUGAUUUUUUAAGUUGAACAUUUUUUACAAAUUUGCGAGCAUUUUAUAAAAUUCUUGAACAUUUUGAAGUUAUGAACAUUUACAUGAACAUGUUUUCAUAACAUUAAGCCAAUGAACUUUAUUUAAAUUUUGCGAAGAUUUUUCAAAAUUAAAGUAUUAUUUUUCAAUUUUGAGAUCAUUUUUGAAAAAAAAAUCAUGAACAUUUCUAAAAUUUGCUAUCGUGUGUUCAAAUUCACUAACCUUUUUACAGGGGUGCCCUGAUGUAUACAGGACCCCCUGAUGUUCGUGAUGUAUACAGAAAAAACAGGGGUUUAUAACAAAAUGUUUCCGAUGUAUAAAUAUACAAGGUGUAUGAAAAAAGUAGACAGCAAAAAUUAUGUUUUGAAAAAGGUUACUCAUAUAUUUGAAAAAUGUUGAAUACGUAUAAAACAAAUGUUUAUAUGUAUAAAAAAAUGUACAAUGUGAAUGAAAAAGAUAGAAAUCGAAACAUGUUGUCCCUCUGGUCUGUUUUGGUCUGCGCAUAAUUAUUUUUUCUUCUGUUUUUUCCUUAUUAGUCUAUGUGUUCCGCUUUCUCUCCUGAAGUUUCCAAACAUACCCCGCUUUGAAUAUGAAGGUUCUGUAAAAAUUGUUCUAACCAAGAACUACAUUUUACUCUGUUUUUGCACAGAGCAUAGCCAUGGAUGACUUCUAUGCUGGAGAGGGUACAGACCACAGUGGGGUUCCAAUCAAGAUGGUCACGCUGAACUGCUCCCUGAACCUGGUGGUGUACAACCCUGCUUCAAUGUUCAGAAUUCAUGUCUCUUCAGGCCCUGUCGGUCUGCUUUAUUCGGAGAUCGCCAUCGGGAUUGGACAGGUAUGUCUAUCAGCAUCCCCUGCCCAUAUUUGGUUUUUGGGUAACAACCUAGAGGUGUUGUCGUUUAUCCAUAUCUGAUAAUGGUGCUUCACAUCUUACCUUGUGAAGUACUGUAUGUGAAUAGCAUGAAUAGUGAAUAAGCCAUACCCAUUUUCACUGCUGCAUUUCACCACUCAAGUGAAUGGUGAAUUUGCAGAAUGUAUUCAAAGUACUGAAUCCUUGAAACAUUUUACAAUAUGCUGGACUCUUCUUACUUUUAUCGGAGUACCGGACUGAAGGUCUUGCAGAUAUGAACUAGGAAAGGCAGUAAUUUUGAGUCAAGAAAGGGUUAAUGCAUUGAUAGGGAUGGGCAUUCAGUAUAGAGAGUAGCAGGAUAGCAGGUUCAUCAAGAUAUGUGCUGUAUUGGUUUUGACUCAGAGUCCCCGGUAAUUUAAAAAAUGCGUUGAUAACAUCUCCUGUGAUGGCAGGUUCGCAAGUACUCUAUCCGUCCGGAUAUACUUGUCCUAGAAAUGGUUGUAUCUAGACUUAUUUUAGUUAUAGAUACAUCUAUUUUAUGAGAACGGCGUUUCGGUGCCCGGGGGCAUCUGCACCCGGUCAAAAAAAAAUUCGUAAAAAAUUCAAAAAAAUUCAAAAAGUUCCAAAAGAAAUUGGGUGGUAGACAAUUUGAUGCGUGAGGUACGCUCCAAUUUUCAAAACAUUUGGACUUCUGUGCAGCUCUCAGCAAAAAAGACAAAUCAGACCAGAACAGUAUAUGAACAGUACACAUUUUUACAGACCUCCGAUUUGUCUUUUUUGCUGAGAGCUGCACAGAAGUCCAAAUGUUUUGAAAAUUGGAGCGUCCCUCAUGCAUCAAAUUGUCCACCAUCCAAUUUUUUUUGGAAUUUUUUGAAUUUUUCUAGUAUUUAUUUUGAUUUUUUUCGUGAGCGCAGGUGCAGAUGAGCUCAGGCUCAGAUUCGAAUUUUCGCUAUUUUAUCCAUUUUUAAGAUAAGUAUUUUCGGAUAGAGGGAGUACUACCAACCGAGCAAGAGCCACCGGUCCAUGUCAGCGGUCAUCCACGGCAAGAGGGUGAGGACCGGAUCCCCGAGAAGGCCAGAGCCGUCUACAAGGCCUGAUUUCGGCGAGCCAUUUUCCUGUCCCCGUAGCUGAAAUGCCUUCUGCUGAAGAACAAUAAACGUGUACUGGUAGUAUAUUCCCACAAUUCUUGUCUUAAAUUUGUCUAGAUAUGGAUGUAUCUAAUACUAAGACGUGACUUGAUACAUCCAUGUUUAGACAAAUGUAAGACAAGAAUUUUGGGACGGAGGGAGUAUAAGGAACAUGUUUGAGCUUCGGUUUUGUUUAUCUAAGUUACUGUUGAGCGGAAGUGGUUUUUGUCUAUGAGCAAGUGAUUGUACCUAUGUGUGGUGUUAGGGUUUGGUUGGGUGCAAGAUAGUAGUAAUGCCCUGUUUGCAGCUUCUCAUGUACAGUAGGUGAGAGAGUGGGAUUGGUUGUCUUGCAUCAUAUUUUCAGAGAAACUCGUAUCAUUUUUCAGGAAGAAAAGAGAUCCAUCCAGGUAGCUGGGGAGCAAUAUCAUUGCCAUAUGGAUAUUUCAAUGUGCUCAUCAGCGCCUGACCUGAAGAUGGAUUCUGGGCCUGGUCAUCUCACUUGGAGAGGUUACAUCAUUGUGUUUGUUUUCGAGCCUUGUGGUUUACUCGCUCCCGAGCUUCCUCAAUAUUAUGAGCGAAUGUUGUAGAGAUGAUCGAACGGCACGAAUGUCCGUCGUGGAGAUGAUCGGACCAGCAAUGUUGGGAUUGCUUGCCCUCAUCCGAUCAAGAUGCACCUUGGAUUUCUAACACGUAGAAUUCAUUCUGAAGUUACACCUGAGCUGGCAAUCUGCAAAAUCUGUUAUUUAAUACUCCCUCCGCCCAAAAAAGUUUGUUCCUCAAAUGGAUGUAUCUAGCAUCAAGUUAGUGCUAGAUACAUCUAUUUGAGAAACAAGUUUGGGACAAGUUUUUUUUGGACGGAGGAAGCUCGGGAGCUGCAAAAUCUGUUUGGACGCUGCAAAAUCUGUUUGUUUAAUACCCAUUUGGACGUGAGGCAUCAGCAGGGACAAGGUCAGGAGGGCGCACGGAGGCUAAAAAUUCAGAGAGUUAUACUGUAAAUAUCCCGAUAAAUAAUCUGCAUAUACCGUAGAGGCUCUGAAAAAGAUGGCACCUAUCCUUCUGUAUCAAAUUAAACGACAGUUCAAGGCAUCCGUAGGCAAAGAUCAGACACUGCAACUAAGUACAGCAGGAGGUGAAUCAGACAAUUUUUCUAGAUCAAAUCAACACAAGGUUAGUUUCGGACUAAACAGAGUGAAUCAAGCUGUUAUAUUGAUGGAAUGAAGAAAUUUUUACCUUUGAUGCUGUAAACUCCAGACUAAAUAGCAUCUCACAGAAAAGAAUAGCUUUGCUUCACUAGUGCAGAUCAUUUCAACAUGACAGGAGCAAAGGAACAUAAACUGACAUGCUCUACUGUUCACUACAAUGACAAGAGGAAUAAAACAUAAAUUCCCCCCCAUGUUUUACUGCCCAUACAAUUACAUAGCUAACAUGCACAAUAAUACUCCCUCUAGUCCAAUAUGUAGUGCGCAUGGUUUGAGGCUCCAAGACCAAGGCAUGAUGUGCAGAUGUACUUCUAGACCAUAGUAACCCUGCAUGCACACUCUCCGUACAUAGGCAUGUGGAUGUGCUGCAUCUCCAGUGAAAAGCUAGGGGUAAUUCUUGUCCAAAGUGCUUCAUACUCACUACAUUGUGGAAUUCUUGCAAGAAACUAAUACGCACUAUAUAUAGGAAUGGAGGGAGUAUUCAACAUAGAAUACACAUACACUAUCUGUAAAAGAGGGCAUCCCUAAGUAGCCCAACACAACAAUCUGGACAUCACAAACAGCAGCCUUGGUACAAAUAAAUGGUAGCUCCAUAAAGUUAAAUAGCAAAGGCUGCUGCCCGUAUGCUGGUACCAACCAUAAACACAUAGUAUAUGUUUACACAAGACAAGCAGCUAGCACUACUAAGUUAACUGGAAC
rnacentral:lncRNA from 1 species